rnacentral:lncRNA from 1 species
AACGGGUCCUGUAAGAACUAUGACCUAUGCACAUAGCUCUGUAAUUAUCUGCGUAAGACCAGAAUCCCGUCAUCGUUGUGGUACCAAAUGUUUAGGGAAAUUAUUUCCUGAAUGGGAGUGCAACAACACCGUUGGCUAAUGGAUUUUGAGUUUACUAUGUUUCUACCCAAGAAAUUCGUUUUUUUACUGGAUUCCAGCAGGCAUGCUAACCGCUAACAAAUAGAUUGGCUCCUGUGGCGCAUCUUUCCAGUUUCUCUGUACCGUCAUUGCCUUUUUCAUGGAACUGGACUUUUCUCCUCUGAUAAAUCAGCCCCUAAGAUUUGCUAGAGGGAACCUUGGACCCCGUUGGAUGCCACUGCCUCCUUCCAAUUUUCACAGGGUUAGCCUUCUCAUUUUCAAGCUUUCUUUUCCUUUCCAAUUAUAAAUUUAUUGCAAUCUUCACCUAAUUAGCUUUCCAUAAUUUAUCAAUGGAAACAUGCAUAUGGAUUUACAUACGCAUUUAUGCUCAACGAUAUUCCAAACGUUAGAGCUAUUAUUGUCUGCAGUUUUAUUUUGAUCCUUUUUUGGGUGAAAAGUUGGGUAGAAAAAUUGAUAACUGAUAAGAAUGAUUAGUUUCAAUAUUAUUAUUUAUGAUGAUGUAAUACAUGCAUUCGUAAGGCUAUUCUUCCAAAUCAAUUGACCACUUGAGAAACUGCAAGCUGUUAUGGGAAGAAAAGAGUAUGUUACCUUUAUCUUGGUUAGGUUUUUAACCAAAUAGUAAAACAAAAAGUAAGUCAUUUUACUUUGUUGAUAGCCUAAUGGAUUUGCUUUACUUUGUUGAUAGCCUAAUGGAUUUGCAACUUCUUUGAAAGCCCAGGGUAAGUUUUUGUUUCUGCGACAAUCCUUGAAGCUGACUUUUCAAACAUUUCAAAAAAAAGAAAACUAAUGCAAGAAUUUAUCACUUGAUGCGAGAUCUCUAAAUGAUAAUGAUUGCUGUAGUUUAGCAAGUAGUCACGGCUAGUUGAUUGUUCUUUGACAAGCAAACUAUGCUCAUCUGAUCUGUAGCUUUUGCUUGCUUGGAGUUGUAUGUGACAUUUCAGUUACAAAAUGCUAUACUUUUCAUGUUGACGUGCAAACCGUGAGUUAUGACAUAAUAUUGGACAAAUAUGGGGAAAAUAGUAUGAAAACUUUAUUAAUCUUUGUGGAAUACUUUUACUCACAAAUUCUGAUCUUGAAUUUAGGGUAUGCUGGCCAUUCAAGGCCGGGUUGAAAAUGUUGAUACAGGAUUGAGCAGGGAAGCCAUUCUUGCACGUAUGAGGUGCUUCAAGUAUCAGUUGACAGAAGGAUCUACAAGUGAUAAAGAUACAUGUUCUAUUUGUCUGGUACGUGCCUAUCUUCAUUUGCUUGUCUCCUACUACUUAAAGUCUAGUAACAUAAGUUAAAUUGCCUUACUUGAAAAUACUUGUCCGAUUUUGCAGGAUGACUUCUCUGAUGGACAGAACAUUGGAAGUACCGACUGCCAACACUCCUUUCACUUUGACUGCAUCAGUCAGUGGCUAAUGCAGAAGAACUCCUGCCCCCUGCGCAAAAGGAUUGCAUUGGCAAUUUAAGGGGAAUCCAAACUAGAAUCUACUACUAUAAUCUGUAUAUAUCUUAUUAACUUUGCAUGCUAUGUUAAGUACGUACUUUUCCUAAAAUGGAACUAGUUGAGAAGUGUGUAAAAUGGACAGUACUUUUCCUUACUGUGUAGUGCAGCCUUAUCUUGAUUAAGGCAUAUUGUUACGACAGAGAGUUGUAUACUGGUUGCUCAUUUCAACUUAUGCCUUGGAAACCUUAGUGCUUUUCAUAUUUCACCUGUUCAACAGUUCCUUUGUUGGGCCACUUGAGGUGCUGGUUUAUUUCCAGUUCUUUGUUUUUUCUUUUGCUUUAUUGGCAGAGAUCGGGAAUAUACUGGCUAUGUUGUUGUCUUGAGUCAGGGGUCUAUCGGAAACAACCUCUCUACUUUAUCUUUGAAGCAGAUGUAUAGACUGUGUACGCUCUACCCUCUUCAAAUCCCACUUUGGUGGAAAUACAUCGGGUAUGUUGUUAUGCAUUAUUAACAAUGGGAAGAAUGAAAAAAACGAUCUACCUUAUAAGAUAUAGGUAAAGUCUACGUACAUUUUAUACUCUUCCAGCGCCACUUAUACAAUCACACCGGUAUUGCUGUUGUAUAUUAAGACGUGUGACUUAUAUCAUAAAGAAUUUCAAACUUUUAGAAUAUUUUCGAUCACCUCAACUCAAUUCUCCAAUCAUAAUGGUAAGCUUAGAAUUCAUGUUUAGAAUUCAUCCCCUUCAAUUCAUGAAUUCCUUUUAGUAGAUGUCACUCUUUACACCCUUCAAUCACCUUGUGCUGACUUAACAACUAUUGAUAGAAAUUCUAAAUCUUUUGAACAAACAAAUACCUUUGAAAUAUAAAGGCAAUCAACUUUCUUACAUUGUACUCUAUAUAAAUUCGUUAGUGUUACUGAUUUAAAUAAGUUUAGAAAUUAUUGAUCUUUCAUAGAAAUUUAUACUAUUUUUCAUAUAUAUAAUUAUUAAAUUUAUACUAUUUUUAUUAUAUUUAAUUAUUUACUCAAAAUUUUAUUUAAUAAUAUUUUUACUAUUUUAUAAAAUCACGUAUCACCUGAACAACAUACACAUGCAAUUCAUGCGCUGAAAAAUAUCUAAUACCGAUCCAACAAUUCAUAAUUAUUUUAAGCUCAUACGUUUUAUUUUAUAAUUUAUAUUUUAAAAACAUAAUUUGACAUACUAUAUAGCUAAAUUAUAAACGUAAUCUUUUUUAUUACCACAAUCGAAAUUGUUUACCAAAUUUUUUAAAAAAUCUAUUACCUCAAUUAUAUUGAUCUUUGCAUUUAAAAUUCCGCUUCAAUUGUAUUAAUAUUUGAAAUCGCCCUCCCCCUCAAUUGUAUAGAUCUUUGUAGUUUUACCUCCUCAAUUGUUUCGAUUCCCUAAUUUCUCAAUUAUAUAUAUCGACUCUUUCAUCUUAAUUGUAUAGAUCCAUGUAAUUCCUUUCCCCGAUAAUAAUUCUUCUUCAAUGUCAAUCCUCUCCACUCAUUCUUAAGUAUUUCUCUUUAUUUUAUCAAUGCUGAUGUUCAUCAACGAUAAGAACUACUGAACUUCAGACUUAAUUGGAGAAAGAAGGUUAGUGAAAAAUAGAAAAAAAAAAUUGAAUUUCAAUUGCAUAUCAUUUUUCUCCAUUUCAAGCAUAAGUGGAGUUGAAUUUACAAAAUAAAAUUUUGUGUUAGAAGUACUUUAAUCCAUAUACUACGAAAUAAGGUCAGAAUCAAUUUAAGACUUUGAAAAACUUGAAUCCCCCUUUCAAUCGCAUCAUUUUCAGAAUUGAUACCCUUAAAUUCAAUAGUUCCUUUUAGCAGAUUAGCCAUCCUUUCCACCUUCCAACCACUUUGUGUAGUCUAACAAUCAUUGAUGAGAAUGGUAAACCUUUGAACAGACAAAUACCUUUAAAAUAUAAAGAUAUAUAAUUUUUUUAGAUUACGAUUUAUAUGAGUUCAAUACUGUCAUCAAUUUAAAUAAACUUAGAAAUUAUUAACCAAUCAUAAAGAGUUUAUACUAUUUUUUCAUGUAUAAUUACUUACUCAAAAUUUUAUUUAAUAAUAUUUUUAUUAUUUUGUAAAAUCAUAUAUAACUUGAAUCAACGUAAAAGUGCAGUGCAUGUGCUGACAAAUUAGUCUAAUGUCAAUUUAAAAAUAGUUAAUUAUUUUUAAUUUUAUAUACUUUAUUUUAUAUUUUUAAAACAUAAUUCAUAAUUAAAUAUUGAAUAAUUAGUUUGGGUGUUCAUCAACGAAGAAAGUUGUUAAACUUCGAACUCAAUCAGAGAAAGUAGGCAAGCAAAAAAUAGAUUGCAUACAAUUUUUCUCUGUUUCGAUUCAUAAAUUCACCAAGAAUUGAUAUCAGAAUCAAUUUAAGACUCUAGAAAAUUUGGACCGCCCUUCUCAUCAAAUCUCAAUUACGAAAACAAAGAAUUUUGAUAACUCCUGACCUAGUGUGAGUGUAGCUACAACAACCAGUAAAUUUUAAUUUUAAUUAGUGGGUGUUACUUAUGUAGGUCAUUGGCUAAAUCAACAUUAAUUGCAAAAAUUGCAAGUCUUCUCACACAAACUUUUAAUCAUGUAGUUUUGGAUUUAGUUCUUCUUUUUUUAUCACUGUCAAUCAUUAUAUUGUUACAUUUAUAUAUCGAUGCAUAUAGAGGUUUGUGUGUAAUAUUAUCAAAUCUCUAGCAGGACAAUAAAAAAUCUUGGUAAUUUCUGACCUAGUACGAGUGUAGUUACCACAACUAGUAAGUUUUGCUUUUAACUAGUGGUUAUUACUUAUGUAGGUCAUCACUAAAUCAACAUUUAUUGAAGAAGUUGCAAGUCUUUUAAGAUAAAUUUUAAUCAUGUAAUUUUGAGUUUAAUUCUUUUAUUUUUAUCACCGAGAAUGCUAUACCUUUGAAUAAAUAAAUACCUUUAAAAUAUAAAGGCAAUCAAUUUUUGUAAGUCACAUUUUAUAUGAGUUCAAUAUUUUUAGUAAUUUAAAUAAGCAUAAAAAAUAUACUACUCUUGAUGUAUAAUUACUUAAUCAAAAUUCAAUCUAAUAAUAUUUUUACUAUUUUAUAAAAUUAUAUAUUAGUUGAAUCAAAGUAAAGUGGAAUGCACGCGCUUAGAGUAACUAGUCUAAUAUCAAUUCCAUAGUACUCGCUUCGUUUUAAAAAGAAUAACUUACUUUACUUUUUAGUUUGUUUCAAAAAGAGUGACUCAUUUUAUUUUUUGGUAAUACUUUGAUUUCAACUUUUCACAUAACAUGUUUAGGAUCAUAGGAUUAAAAAAUAUUUAAUCAUAUUUGACACAAUUUUAAUUUAAGGUCACAAAAUUCAAAAGUUUUCUUUAUUUUCUUAAAUUUUGUGUCAAGUCAAAAUAGAUUAUUAUUUUUUUAAAUGAAUAAAGUAAUUUUUAAACUUAUACACCUUUUUAUUUUAUAUUUCUCUUAUAUUUUAAAACAUAAUGUUCGCUCCGUCUCAUUUUAUAUGUUACUAUUUGACUGGACAUGAAGUUCAAAAAAUAAGAAAAGAUUUGAUAAUGGUUAUCAAAUUAUCCUUUAUCAAAAGAUGAGCUACUAUUUUUUAAUUAAAUAAAAUUAAUAAGAAUAAAAGUGAAAUUAUAUCUUUAAAUAGUUAGUAAAUAAGAAAAGAUACAUUCUUUUUGUACAGAUCAAAAAAGAAAAUACACAUAGGACGGAGGGAGUAAUUCAUAAUGUUAUAUACUUGAAUAAGUUAAAUGUGGGGGGGUCUCAUGCAUAAAUAGCACACAGCUAACAACCAUCCAAACAAGGUGUUACUCUCAUUGCUUCUUCUCUAUGUACUUACAAAAUCUCCAUUAUCGAGGCAAGCAAUUUAUGGAAGAUGUGUUGAUGGAAUAUGUGAUGAAGAUGAAGAUUGGCACCGCGUGUGUUUGGCAGCGCCUAUUGAGGCGUUGCCAGAUUCGGAUAUUGACAAAUUUGUGCAAAUGUGAGUAUUUGGAAAUUACAAUAUGUUUUUAGUUCUAAAUCAUUAUUGUGUUGUUAUGAACUUUUAUUUUGUAUCUAGUAUACCGCUGGCAGUAUUUAGGAGCUCCUUGUAUGUUUAAGAGGUAUUAUUGUUGUUUGUUUGUAAAAAGGGGGGGAUAUUAGACUAUUAAUUGUAUGAUAAUCAUCUCUGUGUAUCUUAAUUUCUGGAAUUACAAUAUGUAAUUUCAUAAAUCAUGUACCGCACAUCAAAAAGUUUUAGAUGGAAUAUUUGGUUCACGAUCUUGAACCAAUUGAGAGGGAAAAAUAAUCAUAAUCUAUUGGUCUAAUGCAUACAAGUGCUAUUGUAUGCAACAUAUCAUAUCUCAGACCAACACAUAAAACUUUGUUUUAAUUAGCAAUGAUUUAGCUAUUUAUUGAAGGCAUUCAAUGUCAAACCAUCAUCAUCAAGAUGAAUUGUUUUGAUUAUACAAUCUGAAAGUUAUGUUCUUAACUCAAUUUAUUGACUAAACAACUUUAUGAAUGUCAAACUAUGGGUUGACAAUAAAUGUACAUGUGAUCAUCUUAUUGAUGUAUUAUUUUAACAUAUUACAUGAUAGGUGAACGAGCCCUUAUUCACCUUUUAUACCUUUUCAGAUUUUAAAGGAUCAAAUCCCAACAUUAGUUGGUCCAACCAAAUUAUCAUGAGAACAAGCAACAUAAAAAGCUCAUAAAUAAUUUUUGAAUUCUUCAAUGUGUAUUUAAUAAUUAAUAUGCAUAUCUUUAGGAUGUAGCAAUGAUUCAUGUCAAUUUAUGAACUUUUAUACUAGUAAACUCCAAGUUUAUCAUGACAUAUAUUUUUCACUUUAGGAAAUUUCAGAUUUACUAUUGCAUGAAUAAAUUUCAGAUUUACUACUUUAAAAGUAGAUUUCAAAAUAACUCUUCUCAGUUAUUCUGCCUCUUUCGGAGGUGAGUUGUGAUGCCAUCACAAUCAAGUACACGUUUGUAUUGAUAAACUUUACUAAAUAUUAUCACAUUCACCCAGGGAAUGGAUCUAUGCUUAUAACAAUUAAAAUUCUCAUUUCCAUGAAUAAAAUAUAAUCGUGUCUUAAGCCAAUCAAAUUGAUAGCUUAUAACCUUUUUUAUGAUAUUGCUACUUCAGGAGCAAAUCGAGGCAUACAUAUGAUCUAGAAAAUUUUUCUCUAACAUAUCUUAUGAUCAUAAUAUGCGUGUGAAAAUAUCUAGCGAAUGCAGAAAGCAACUGAAGGCGUUCUAGUUUGUUCAAUGUAGUUUGAAUAUCACUUUUGAUGAUCAUUAUCAUAUUGUCCCCAUGGGUAAGAGUUGACUCUACCACGUUAUGUUUUUUCAUUUAUGAGAUGAUCUACAACUAUUGCCUUAGAGGCAAGACUUAGCUCAAGGACUUUCAAACAACAAAUUGUGUCCCGUGGGCGAAAGUUGACUCUACCACAUUAUGUUUUCAUUUAUGAGAUGUUCUACAACUCUUGCCUUAGAGGCAAGACUUGACUCAAGAACUUUCAAACUACAAAUUAUGUCGCAUGGGCAAGAGUUAACUCUACCACGUUAUAUUUUCAUUUAUGAGAUGUUCUACAAUUAUUGCCUUAGAGGCAAGACUUGGCUCAAGGACUUUCAAACUAUAAAUUAUGCCCCACGGGCAAGAGUUGACUUUACCAUGUUAUGAUUUCAUUUAUGAGAUGUUCUAUCACAAUUGCCUUAGAGGCAAGACUUAAUUAACUCAAGGAGUUUCAAACUACAAAUUAUGCCCCAUGGGCAAGAGUUGACUCUACCACGUUGUAUUUUCAUUUAUGAGAUGUUCUACAACUAUUGCCUUAGAGGCAAACUUAGCUCAAGGACUUUCAAAAGACAAAUUAUGCCCACGGGCAAGAGUUGACCCUACCACGUUAUAUUUUUAUUUAUGAGAUGUUCGACAACUCUUGUCUUAGAGGCAAGACUUAAUUAGCUCAAGGAUUUUCAAACAAAAAAUUAUGCCCCAUGGGCAAGCGUUGACUCUACCACGUUAUGUUUUCAUUUAUGAGAUAUUCUACAACUAUUGUCGUAGAGACUUUGAAACUACAAAUUAUGCCCCACGGGCAAGAGUUGGCACUGCCACAUUAUGUCUUCAUUUAUGAGAUAUUCUACAACUCUUGCCUUAGAGGCAAAACUUAGCUCAAAGACUUUCAAACUACAAAGUAUGCCCCACAGGCAAGAGUUAACACUACCACGUUAUGUUUUCAUUUAUGGAAUAUUCUACAACUCGUACCUUAGAGGCAAGACUUAGCUCAAGGACUUUCAAAUAAUAAACUAUGCCCCACGAGCAAGAGUUGACACUAUCAUAUUAUGCCUUUAUUUAUGAGAUAUUCUACAACUCUCGCCUUAGAGACACGGCUUUUUUCAAGAAUUUUCAAAGGACUUCGUAACAACAAUUAAUGCCCUUAAAUUUGCUUUGAUGUUAAAAAAAGAAGAUAUCUUUGCAGAUUAUCCAAUUUUUUAUUUAUUAGCAAAAUAUAAUAGAAGUUGAGAAAAAAAAACGACCAAACAAAAUAGAGAAAAAAAGAAAGAUUGAGAAAAAAAGAAAAGAAAAGAAAAAAAUAAAGAUAAAAAAAAAGUGAAGAAUUACGAAAAUUUAGAAACAAAAAAGAGAGGAAAAAUAAAAAUAAAGCUUGAGAAAAAUGAGGGAAAAAAAGAGAUAUGAAAAAAGAAAAAAGCGAUCAAACAAAAUAGAAAAAAAAAAAAGAGUGAGAAAAAAAGGCAAUGAAAAAAUAAAGACUAAGAAAAAAGCGAAGAAUUAAAAAAAAUUGAGAAAAUAAAAAAUGAGAGGAAAAAAAAUAAAAUUUGAGAAAAAUGAAGAAAAAAAUAACUAAUAAAAAUAAAAAAUAAAAGAAAAAUAAAGGUUAAAGACAAGUGAAUUAAAAAAAGAAAAAAAAUUAGAUAAUGCUUGAGAAAAAAGAAAAAAGAGAAAAAUAAAGGCUGAGACAAAUGAAUUAAAACACAAAAAUAAAAUUAAAGGAAAAAAUAAAAAGUUAAAAUAAUAAAAAAUAGAAUAAAAAAAUUAAAGGAAAAAAUAAAAAAGUAAAAAUAAUAAAAAAUAAAAUUUGAGAGAUAAAUGAGUAUGAAAGUUUAAAAAUAUAGUUACUUUUAGUAUAUUAAAAAGUAAGGAAGAUUAUUCUUCAAAAACAUUCUUAUUUGGGGUUAAAUAUCUAAAGCCACUCAUAUUUGGGUCUAUGCAAAAUCAAUUGAAGGAUUUUAAAAACUUGAGUUUGCCCUCUCAUUCACAUCAUGUUUAGAAUUGCCUCCCUUGAAUUCAAUAAUUCCUUCUAGCAGAUUAGCCACCAUUUUCAUACAAAUAUAAAUGUAUCAACAAAUAUAAAAAUAUAAAUGAUGUUGCAAAUUAUAAAAUAUAAAUAUAAUUGCUAAUUAUAAAAUAGUAAUACAAAUAAAAUUGUAUUAACAAAUACAGAAAUAUAUAUAGUAGUGCGAAUAUAAAUACAAUAAACGAUAGUAAUGUUUUCAGUAUCAUCCAUGAUUUAUGCCCGACGUAGUCAUAUUUAAAAAAAAAAACAAAAAAAUAUAAAAUGAAGUAAAAAUAAAAAAGGAGAAAGGGAAAAAUAUAUACAAAAAGAAAAGAAAUCAAAAAAAGACAAAAAAGAAAAAAAUGAGUAAAAAAUACCGAAAGAACGAAAAAAGGUAGAAAAGAAAAAAACGAAGAAAGAGAAAUAGAAGUUAGAGAUAGAAGAGAGAAAAAAAUAAAAAGAGAAAGAAAAAAUAAAACCAAAAUAGAAAAAAGAAAAAAAGGCUAGCCAUGUAAUUACUCUCAUUGUAUUUAUAUUAUAGUCGGUUGCUUACUACUACUAUUACAACUACUACUAAUGUGAGUUCAAUACUUUCAUCAAUUUAAAUUAGCUGAGAAAUUAUUAAUCAAUCAUAAAAAAUUACACUAUUUUUUCAUGUCUAAUUACUUACUCAAAAUUCUAUUUAAUAAUAUUUUUAUUAUUUUGUAAAAUCAUAUAUUACUUGAAUCAACGUAAAUGUGCAGUGCACGUGCUGAAAAAUCAGUCUAAUAUCAAUUAAAAAAUAGUUAAUUAUUUUUAAAUUUAUAUACUUUAUUUUAUAUUUUAUAUUUCUAAAACAUAAUUCAUAAUUACAUACGAAAUAAUAAGUUCAGGUGUUCUUCAACGAGGAAAGCAGUUGAACUUUGGACUCGACUGGAGAAAGAGAGCAAGCAAAAAAUAGAUUGACAUCAUCGUAUCAUUGUGAUUUCGUAUACACGGAGCAUUGAGAUAAUUUUUUGAGCUUCAUUAAAUCAUGAAACUUCUAUAAGGAAAGAAACUCACCUACAUUUUAUCGUGGUACUAGCGCAACAACUGAUCCUGUAAGAACUAUGACCUAUGUCGCACAUAGCUUUGAAUCAUCUACAUAAGAUCAGAAUCCUGUUUCGUCGUUGUGGUACCAAAUGUUUUGGUAAAUUAUUUCUCAUAUGGGAGUGCAAGAACAUUGUUGGCUAUUGAAACUAGAGUUUACCAUGUUUUCAUUAUUCCAAGAAAUUCAUUUUUCCACGGAAUUCCAACAGGAAUGCUAACAAAUUGUUUGACUCCUUUUACGCAUCUUACCAGUUUAUCUGUACCGUCAUUGCAUUUUUCAAUAUUUAUAUUAUUUUUAUAUAUAUAAUUAUUUACUCAAUAUUCUAUUUAAUAAUAUUUUUAAUACUUUAUAAAAUUAUUUAUUACUUGAAUCAAUGUAAACGUGCAGUGCACGUGCUGAGAAACUAGUCAAAUAUCGAUUAAAAAAUAGUUAAUUAUUUUUAAACUUAUAUAUUUUAUUUUGUAUUAUAUAUUUCUAAAACAUAAUUCAUAAUUACAUCCUGAAUACUAAGUUUUCGUGUUUAUCAACGAAGAAAGCUAUUGAACUUGUGACACGACUGGAGAAAGUGAACAAGCAAAAAACAGAUUGACAUUAUUGUAUCAUUGUAAUUUCAGGUACAGGGAGCAUUCCGAUAAUUUUUUUAGCUUCAAUAAAUCAUGAAACUUCUAUAAAGAAAGAAACUCAUCUACAAUGGAGCGUGGUACUAGUGCAACAACUGAUCCUCUGUAAGAAUGAUGACCUAUGCCGCACAUAACUCUAGAUUCAUUCACAUAAGACCAGAAUCCUAUUUCAUCGUUGUGGUAUCAAAUGUUUUGGUAAAUUAUUUCUCGAAUGGGAGUGCAACAACAUUGUUGGUUAAUGGAACUAGAGUUUACCAUGUUUUCAUUAUUCCAAGAAAUUCAUUUUCCCAUCGGAUUUCAGCAGGAAUGCUAACAAAUAGAUUAGCUCCUGACGCGCAUCUUACUACUUUCUCUGUACCGUCAUUGAAUUUUUUAGUAUUUAUAUUACUUUUUUAUAUAUAACUGCUUACAUAACAUUCUAUAUAAUAAUAUUUUUACUAUUCUGUAAAAGCAUAUAUUACUUGAAUCAACGUAAACGUGCAGUGCACGUACUGAGAAACUAGUGUAAUAUCAAUUAAAAAAUAGUUAAUUAUUUUUAAACUUAUAUACUUGAUUUUAUAUUUUAUAUUUCUAAAACAUAAUUCCUAAUUACAUAUUGAAUAAUAAGUUCAAGUGUUCUUCAACGAAGAAGGCUGUUGAACUUCGGACUCGACCGGAGAAAAUGAGCAAGCAAAAAAUAGAUUGACAUCAUUGUAUCAUUGUGAUUUCAGGUACAAGGAGCAUUGUGAUAAAUUUUUGAGUUUCAUUAAAUCAUGAAACUUCUAUAAGGAAAGAAACUCACCUACAUGGAUUGUGGUACUAGUGCAACAACUGGUCCUAUAAGAACUAGGACCUAUGCCGCACAUAAGACCAGAAUCCUAUUUUAUUGUUGUGGUACCAAAUGUUUUGGUAAAUUAUUUUUCGAACAGGAGUGCAAUAACAUUGUUGGCUAAUAAAACUAGAGUUUACCAUGUUUCCAUUAUUCCAAGAAAUUCAUUUUCCCACUAGAUUCCAGCAGAAAUGCUAACAAAUAGAUUGACUUCUGUCGCGCAUCUUAUCAGUUUCUCUGUACCGUCAUUGCAUUUUUUAAUAUUUAUAUUAUUUUUAUAUAUUUUAUUAACUACUCAAUAUUCUAUUUAAUAACAAUUUUAUCAUUUUGUAAAAUCCUAUAUUACUUGAAUCAACGUAAACGUGCAUUGCACGUGUUGACAAACUAGAGAAUAAGUUUUGGUGUUCAUCAACGAAGACAUUUGUUGAAUUUCGGACUCGACUGGAGAAAGUGAGCAAGCAAAAAAUAGUUUGGCAUCAUUAUAUUAUUGUUAUUUCAGGUACAGGGAGCACUGUAAUAAUUUUUUGAGUUUCAUUAAAUUAUAAAACUUCUAUAAGGAAAGAAACUCACCUAAACUUAGCGUGGUACUAGUGCAACAACUAGUCAUGUAAGAACUAUGACCUAUGCUACACAUAGCUCUAGAAUCAUCUACAUAAGAUCAGAAUCAUGUUUCAUCAUUGUGGUACCAAAUGUUUUGAUAAAUUAUUUCUCUAAUGGGAGUGCAACAACAUUGUUGGCUAAUGAAACUAGAGUUUAUCGUGUUUUCAUUAUUCCAAGAAAUUCGUUUUCCCACUAGAUUCCAGUAGGAAUGCUAACAAAUAGAUUGACUCUUGUCAUGCAACAUACUAGUUUCUCUGUACCGGCAUUGCAUUUUUCAAUAUUUAUAUUAUUUUUAUAUAUAUAAUUACUUACUCUAUAUUCUAUUUACUAAUAUUUUUACUAUUUUGUAAAAUCAUAUAUUACUUGAAUCAAUGCAAACGCACAAUGCAUGUGCACUUGCUGAAAAACUGGUCUAAUAUCGAUUGCAUAAUAGUUAAUUAUUUUUAAACUUAUUACUUUAUUUUACAUUUUAUAUUUCUAAAACAUAAUUCAAAUUUACAUAGUGAAUAAUAAAUUCAGGUGUUCUUCAGUAAAAAAAGUUGUUGAUCUUCGAACUCGACUGGAGAAAGUGAGCAAGCAAAAAAUAGAUUGACAUGAUUCUAUCAUUGUGAUUUCAGGUACAGGGAGCAUUGUGAUAAUUUUUUGAGAUUCAUUAAAUCAUGAAACUUCUAUAAAGAAAUAAACUCAUCUAUAAUGGAGCGUGGUACUAGUGCAACAACUGAUCAUGUAAGAACUAUGACCCAUGCUGCACAUACUUCUGGAAUCAUCUAUAUAAUAUCAUAAUCUUGUUUCAUCGUGUUGUACCAAAUGUUUUGGUAGAUUAUUUCUCGAAUGGGAGUGCAACAACAUUUUUGGCUAAUGGAACUAAAGUGUACCAUAUUUCCAUUAUUUCAAGAAAUUUAUUUUCCCACUGAGUUCCAAAACAGGAAUGCUAACAAAUAAAUUGGCUCCUAUCACGCAUCUUACCAGUUUCUCUCUACCGAUAUUGCAUUUUUCAAUAUUUAUAAUAUUUUUAUACAUAUAAUUACUUACUCAAUAUUAUAUUUAAUAUUAUUUUUACAAUUUUGUAAUAUCAUAUAUUACUUGAAUCAAUGUAAACGUGCAGUGCACGUGCUUAGAAACUAGUCCAAUAUCGAUUAAAAAAUAGUUAAUUAUUUUAAAACUUAUUACUUUAUUUAUAUUUUAUAUUUCUAAAACAUAAUUCAUAGUUACAUACUGAAUAAUAAGUUUUGGUGUUCAUCAACGAAGAAAGUUGUUGAGCUUCGAACUUGACAGGAGAAAGUUUACAAGCAAAGAAUAGAUUGACAUCUUUGUAUCAUUGUGAUUUCAGGUACAGGGAGCAUUGUGAUAAUUGUUUGAGCUUCAUAAAAUCAUGAAGCUUCUAUAAGGAAAGAAACUCACCUACAAUGGAGCGUGGUACUACUGCAACAAUUGGUCAUGUAAGAACUAUGACCUAUGCCGCACAUAGCUCUGGAAUCAUCUGCAUAAAACAAGAAUCCCGUUUCAUCAUUGUUGUACCAAAUGUUUUCGUAAAUUAUUUCUCGAAUGGGAGUGCAACAACAUUGUUGGCUAAUGGAAUUAGACUUUACCAUGUUUUCAUUAAUUCAAGAAAUUCAUUUUCUCACUAAAUUCCAACACGAAUGCUAACAAAUAGAUUGGCUCCUGUCGCGCAUCUUACUAGUUUCUUAGUACCGGUAUUGCAUUUUUAAAUAUUUUUAUUAUUUUUAUAUAUGUAUAUAAGAACUAAAACAUAAUUCAUAAUUACAUACUGAAUACUAAGUCCAGGUGUUCUUCAACGAAGAAAGUUGUUUAACUUGAAACUCGACUGAAGAAAGUGAACAAGCCAAAAAAUAGUUAGACAUCAUUGUAUCAUUGUGAUUUCAGGUAUAGGCAGUGUGGUACCAAAUGUUUUGGUAAAUUAUUUCUCGAAUGGGAGUGCAAGAACAUUGUUGGCUAUUGGAACUAGAGUUUACCAUGUUUUCAUUAUUCCAAGAAAUUCGUUUUUCCACUGAAUUCCAACAAGAAUGCUAACAAAUAGUUUGACUCCUUUUACGCAUCUUACCAGUUUCUCUGUACCGUUAUUGCAUUUUUCAAUAUUUAUAUUAUUUUUAUAAAUAUAAUUAUUUACUCAAUAUUCUAUUCAAUAAUAUUUUUAAUAUUUUAUAAAAUUAUUUAUUACUUGAAUCAAUGUAAACGUGCAGUGCACGUGCUGAGAAACUAGUCUAAUAUCAAUUAAAAAGUAGUUAAUUAUUUUUAAACCUAUAUACUUAAUUUUAUAUUUUAUAUUUCUAAAACAUAAUUCCUAAUUACAUACUGAAUAAUAAUUUCAGGUGUUCUUCAACGAAGAAAGUUGUUGAACUUCGGACUCGACCGGAGAAAAUGAGCAAGCAAAAAAUAGAUUGACAUCAUUGUAUCAUUGUUAUUUCAGGUACAGGGAGCACUGGGAUAAUUUUUUGAGCUUCAUUAAAUCAUGAAACUUCUAUAAGGAAAGAAUCUCAACUACAAUAGAGCAUGGUACUAGUGCAACAACUGGUCAUGUAAGAACUAUGACCUAUGUUGUACAUAACUACGGAAUCAUCUACAUAAGAUCAGAAUCCCGUUUCAUCAUUGUGGAACCAAAUGUUUUGGUAAAUUAUUUCUCAAAUGGGAGUGCAACAACAUUGUUGGCUUAUGGAACUAGACUUUACCAUGUUUUCAUUAUUCCAAGAAAUUCAUUUUCUCACUAAAUUCCAACACGAAUGCUAACAAAUAGAUUGGCUCCUGUCGCGCAUCUUACUAGUUUCUUAGUACCGGUAUUGCAUUUUUAAAUAUUUUUAUUAUUUUUAUAUAUGUAUAAUCACUUACUCGAUAUCAUAUUUAAUAAUACUUUUACAAUUUUUUAAAAUUAUAUAUUAAUUGAAUCAACGUAAACGUGCAGUGCGCGUGCUGAGAAACUAGUUUAAUAUCUAUUACAAAAUAGUUAAUUAUUUUAAAACUUAUUAAUUUAUUUUAUAUUUUAUAUUUCAAAAAAUAUAAUUCAUAAUUACAUACUGAAUAACAAGUUUUGGUGUUCAUCAACAAAAAAAGUUGUUGAAAUUCGAACUCGACAGGAGAAAGUUAGCAAGCAAAGAAUAGAUUGAUAUCAUUGUAUCUAGGGGUGUUCAUGGGUCGGUUAUUGAUCAAAACCAUAACCAAACCAACUUAGCCAAUUUUUAAAUUUCUAAAAUCAAACCAAACCAACACAAAAAAAUAAUCGUCGGUUUAGUUUGGUUCGUUUUUUUUCGAUUUAUAACUUUAGUUAAUUAUAAAAGUUGAAUAUUUUUCUUAAAAAAAUUCAGUCUAACAUAUGAGAUAUCAAUCGAGUAUUGUUCCUCAACCUUGAAACUAAGAUGUUAAUUUAGUUAUAUACUUAGGCAAAGCAACAAACAACACCAUAUGAACGCUUCUACAAAAGUAUUUAGAAACCACAUAUAAGAGAAUGAUAUGAUAAAUCACACUAAAGGUAAACACAUAAUUUUUUUGCUCAAUAGGGACCGAAAAGAAAGUUCAAAACUAGUGAUUAUAUAUAGUCUAAUGAAACUCACCUAUAAAAUCACAUAGACAACAAGAUAAUUUUCACAAUUGGUAUCAUUUGUCAUUCAAAGUGCGAAAAUCAUAUAGAGUCUCAUAACAUACCAUCAACUAGAUGAGACAUAUGACUAAAAGCACUACGACUAAAGUUAAAUUCAUGAUUAAAAUUUAAAAUGUUUAAAAAAUAUUUAUAUUUUAUUUAUGAAAAAUAUAUAUAUAUUUUAUAUAUGCAUAUGUGUGUGUAUAUAUAUAUAUAUAAUUUUUAUCAGUUCGAUUUGGUUAUUUUGUUGGUUAUUUUAAAGUAAAACCAAAAUCAAACCAUAUAAGUAUCGAUUUUAAAAAUUUUAAAUCAAACCUAACCAAAUGUCAGUUUUUUUAAUCGUUUUGGUUUGGUUCGCGGUUCAAUUUGUAUUUAACUAAACCAUAAACAACCCUAAUUGUAUCAUAUUGAUUUCAGGUACAGGGAGCAUUGUGAUAAUUUUUUGAGCUUUAUAAAUUCAUGAAACUUCUAUAAGGAAAGAAACUCACCUACAAUGGAGCGUGGUACUAGUGCAACAAUUGGUCGUGUAAGAACUAUGACCUACGUCGCACAUAGCUCUGGAAUCAUCUACAUAAGACCAGAAUCCUACUUUAUUAUUGUGGUACUAAAUGUUUUGGUAAAUUAUUUCUCAAAUGGGAGUGCAAGAACAUUGUUGACUAUUGGAACUAGAGUUUACCAUGUUUUCAUUAUUCCAAGAAAUUCGUUUUUCCGCUGAAUUCCAGCANNNNNNNNNNNNNNNNNNNNNNNNNNNNNNNNNNNNNNNNNNNNNNNNNNNNNNNNNNNNNNNNNNNNNNNNNNNNNNNNNNNNNNNNNNNNNNNNNNNNNNNNNNNNNNNNNNNNNNNNNNNNNNNNNNNNNNNNNNNNNNNNNNNNNNNNNNNNNNNNNNNNUUGCAUUUUUCAAUAUUUAUAUUAUUUUUAUAUAUAGAAUUAUUUACUCAAUAUUCUAUUUAAUAAUAUUUUUAAUACUUUAUAAAAUUAUUUAUUACUUGAAUCAAUAUGAACGUGCAGUGCACGUGCUGAGAAACUAGUCAAAUAUCAAUUAAAAAAUAGUUAAUUAUUUUUAAACUUAUAUGCUUUCUUUUAUAUUUUAUAUAUCUAAAACAUAAUUCAUAAUUAUAUACUGAAUAACAAGUUUUGGUGUUCAUCAAUGGAGAAAGUUGUUGAACUUUGGACUUGACUGGAGAAAGUGAGCAAGCAAAAAACAGAUUGACAUCACUGUAUCGUUGUUAUUUCAGGUAGGUAGCACUGCGAUAAUUUUUGAGCUUCAUUAAAUCAUGAAACUUCUAUAAGGAAAGAAACUCACCUACAAUAGAGCUUAGUACUAGUGCAACAACUGUUCAUGUAACAACUAUGAUCUAUGCUGUACAUAGCUCUGAAAUCAUCUAUACAAGAUCAGAAUCAUUUUUCAUCGUUGUGGUACCAAAUGUUUUCAUAAAUUAUUUCUCGAAUGGAAGUGCAACAACAUGUUUUUGGUUAGUGAAAUUAGAGUUUAUCAUUCUUCCAUUAUUCCAAGAAAUUCGUUUUCCCAUUGGAUUCCAUCAGCAGGAAUGCUAACAAAUAGAUUGGCUCCUAUCGUGCAUUUUCCUAGUUUCUCUGUACCGGUAUUGCAUUUUUCAAUAUUUAUAUUAUUUUUAUAUAUAUAAUUACUUACUCAAUAUUAUAUUUAAUUAUAUUUUUACAAUUUUGUAACAUCAUAUAUUACUUGAAUCAAUGUAAACGUGCAAUGCACGUGCUGAGAAACUAAUUUAAUAUCGAUUACAAAAUAGUUAAUUAUUUUAAAACUUAUUAAUUUAUUUUAUAUUUUAUAUUUAUAAAACAUAAUUCAUAUUUACAUACUGAAUAAUAAGUUUUGGUGUUAAUCAAUGAAAAAAGUUGUUGAACUUCGAACCCGACAGGAGAAAGUUAGCAAGCAAAGAAUAGAUUGACAUCAUUGUGUUGUAUCAUAUUGAUUUCGGGUACAGGGAGCAUUGAGAUUAUUUUUUGAGCUUUAUAAUUUCAUGAAACUUCUAUAAGGAAAGAAACUCACCUACAAUAGAGCGUGAUACUAGUGCUACAAUUGGUCGUGUAAGAACUAUGACUUAUGCCGCAUAUAGCUCUGGAAUAAUCUACAUAAGACUAGAAUCCCAUUUCAUAGUUGUGGUACCAAAUGUUUUAGUAAAUUAUUUCUCGAAUGGGAGUUCAACAACAUUGUUGGCUAAUGGAACUAGACUUUACCAUGUUUUCAUUAUUCCAAGAAAUUCGUUUUCCCACUAAAUUCCAGUAGGAAUGCUAACAAAUAGAUUGACUCCUGCCCGUAACUUACCAGUUUCUCUGUUCCGUCAUUGCAUAUUUUAAUAUUUAUAUUGUUCUUUUAUAAAUAAAUACUUAUUCAAAAUUCUAUUUAAUAAUAUUUUUAUUAUUUUGUAAAAUCAUAUAUAACUUGAAUCAACGCAAACGUGCGGUGCCGGUGCUGAGAAACUAGUCUAGUAUCGAUUAAAAAAUAGUUAAUUAUUUUUAAAACUUAUAUACUUUAUUUUAUAUCUCAUAUUUCUAAAACAUAAUUCAUAAUUACAUACUGAAUACUAAGUUCAGGUGUUCUUCAACGAAGAAAGUUGUUUAACUUGAAACUCGACUGAAGAAAGUGAACAAGCCAAAAAUAGUUAGACAUCAUUGUAUCAUUGUGAUUUCAGGUAUAGGCAGCAUUGUGAUAAUUUUUUGAGAUUCAUUAAAUCAUGAAACUAUCUCUUUGCUCCUCAACUUCUAGACUUGAUGAUCCAAGAUUGUAAUAGGCUCUUCUUUAUAAGAUAGGGAGUCUGACACUCUGAUCUCUUCUAUGGGUAACACUAGAGAGUUGUCCCCAAUACAUUUCUUCAACAUGGAUACAUGAAACACCGGGUGAACAAAACCCAAAUUUGUAGGCAACUCUAACUCAUACACAACUUCACCUAUUUUUCUCACAAUCUGGUAUGGUCCUAUAUAGCGAGGACUCAUCUUUCUUUUCUUUUUUAAAUGCAUGACUCCCUUCAUAGAAGAAACUUUGAGAAACACCUAAUCACCAACCCCAAAUGCUAGCUCCCUUCUUCUAACAUCAACAUAGGAUUUCUGUCUACUCUGGGCUGUCUUAAGUCAUUCUCUAAUAAUCUUCACAUCCUUCAUUGCCUGGUGAACAAGGUCAGGUCUAAACACCUGUGUCUCACCUACUUCAUACCACCCUAUUGGCGACCUACAUAUCCUCCCAUACAACGUCUCAAAAGGAGCCAUCUUAAUACUGACAUGGUAGCUAUUAUUAUAUGCAAACUCUAUCAAGGGCAAGUGAUCUACCUAACUACCUUUGAAGUCAAUCACACAUGCCCACAACAUAUCCUCAAGGGUUUGAAUAGUACGCUCAGCUUACCCACGGUCUGGGGGUGGAAAGUUGUACUUAGGUUUACUUGAGUACCUAAACCCCUCUAAAAAGAUCUCCAAAAUUGUGAAUAAAAUUGCGUACCUCGGUCAGAUAUGAUGGACACAGGUGCUCCAUGCAGAUGGACUAUCUCUUCAAUGUAAAUUUUGGCAUAGACAUCUCCUGAAUAAUUAGUCCUCACAGGCAGGAAGUGACCUGACUUGGUCAGCCUGUCAACAAUUACCCAAAUAGAGUCAUACUGGUUUCGGGACCUCGAAAGUCCCAUGAUGAAAUCCAUAUUGAUCAUCUCCCAUUUCCACAAGGGCAAAGCUAUCUCUUGGGAAGUACCACCUGGCCUCAUAUGCUCUACUUUCACUUUUUGACAAUUCAAGCACUUAGCAACAUAGUUAGCCACAUCACACUUCAUAUUGUUCCACCAAUAUAUAGCUUUUAAAUCAUGAUACAUCUUAGUAGAGCUUGGGUGGAUAACAUACCUCGAUAUGUGAGCUUCAUCAAGGAUUCUCUCCCUCAUACCUUCUACAUCUGGCACACACAAUCUACCCUGAUAUCUCAAAAUACCAUCACCACCAAUUUCAAAGGACAUCACCUUCUAUUAACCCGCAUCUUUCUUGAUCUACAUCAAGAUGAGAUCUUCGACCUAUUUUUCCUUAACCUCUGCACAAAGGGAUAAUUUAGCUAUCUAAUGAACAACCACCCCUCCAUCUUUGAAAUCUAAGAGUCGCACUCCAAUAUUUUAAAGUCGGUGAAUAUCCUUUACCAUCUCUCUUUUCCCUUCUUCAACAUGAGAAAAGCUGCCUAUAGACAACCUAUUGAGGGCAUCGGCUACCACAUUUGCCUUGCCCGAAUGAUAGUUCAGGCUCAUGUCAUAAUCCUUUAGUAAUUCUAACCACCGUCUCUGCCUGAGAUUAGGUUCUUUCUGCGAGAAAACAUACUACAAACUUUUAUGGUCAAUAAAUAUAUCAAUGUGAACUCCGUAAAGAUAAUGCCUCCAAUUUUAAGUACGAACACCACAGCUGCUAAAUCCAAGUCAUGGGUGGGAUAAUUUUGCUUGUGCACCUUUAAAUGCCUAGAUGAAUAAGCUACCACUCUACCAUGCUGCAUAAGCACACAUCCAAGUCCCACUCGUGAUGUAUCACAGUACACAACAAAACCCUCUGUACCUUUCGGAAGAGUCAAAACAAAAGCAGUGGUCAACUUGUCUUUCAACCUCUCGAAACUAUUCUCACAGGAGUCAGACCACAUAAACUUCACCUUUUUCUGAGACAGCUUGGUAAGUGGAGCAGCUAUGGAAGAAAUGCUUUCUACAAAUCUCUUGUAAUACCCUGCCAAACCCAAGAAGCUCCGGAUAUCGAUUAGAGUCGUGGUCCUGGGCCAUUUCCUCACUGCCUCAACCUUUUGGGGAUCAACCUUAAUUCCCUCACUAGACACAACAUGCCCUAAGAAAGCAAUAGCGCCAAGCCAGAAUUCACACUUGGAAAAUUUUGCAUACAACUUAUGAUCUCUAAGAUUCUAAAAAGUAAUUCAGAGGUGAUUGGCAUGGUCCUCCUCACUCUUAGAAUACAUCAAGAUGUCAUCAAUGAAAACUAUGACAAACAGGUUUAGAAACUGAUGGAACACCCUAUUCAUAAGGUCCAUAAAGGCUACAGGGGUGUUAAUCAACCCAAAGGGCAUAACUAAGAACUCAUAAUGACCAUAUCUGGUUCGAAAAGCUAUUUUAGGAAUGUCACUCUCUAAAUUUCAACUGAUGGUAUCCCGAACGUAGGUCUAUCUUUGAAAAACAUCUAGCACCCUAAAGCUGGUAAAAAAGAUCAUCAAUUCUAGGAAGAGGAUAUUUAUUUUUAACAGUGACCUUAUUCAACUGGCGGUAAUCUAUGCACAUACGCAAGGAACCAUCUUUCUUUCACACGAAGAGUACAGGUGCACCCCAAGGAGAAACACUAGGGUGAAUAAAACCUUUUUCUAGAAGAUCUACUAGCUGUUCAUACAAUUCUUUCAGUUCUACAAGAGCCAUUCUAUAUGGCGAAAUAAAGAUGGGACGGGUAUCGGGCAACAAAUCAAUACCAAAAUCUAUCUCCCUAUCAGGUGGUAUGCCUAGGGAAUCAUUAGGAAAUACUUCUGGGAACUCAUUCGCCACAGGGACAAACUGAAGAGAAAGUCUUUCGAUACUCAAAUCUUUAACCCAAAUAAGAUGAUACAAGCAACCCUUAGAAAUGAGUUUACGAGCUCUAAGGUAAGAUAUAAAGUGCCCUUUAGAUGCUAAGGAAUGUCCCUCCCACUCUACUACUGGUUCAUUUGGGAAAGAAAAAGUGACUCUUCAGGUUCUAUAAUUUAGUGUGGCAUUGCACGAAUAGAGCCAAUCCAUUCCUAAGAUAGCAUCAAAGUCAAUAAUUUUAAGUCCUAUGAGAUAUGCCAAAGUAUACCGCCCACAAACAGUCACCACACAAUUUCUAUACACCCUCCUAACUAUAAUAGAAUCUCCUACCAGAGUGGAAAUAGAAAAAGGCUCAGCAAUUACAUCAGGUUCAAACCCAAAACCAACAGCCACAUAAGGGGUCACGUAUGAUAGGGUAGACCCGGGAUCAAGUAACACAUAAACAUCACGAGAAAAAAUUUGCUACGUACCAGUAACUACAUCCGGUGAGGCCUCUGCUUCUUGGCGGUUGGUCAAGGUGUACAACUAGUUGCGUCCAUUUUCGGCGGCUGAAGUGGCACCCUUCUGAGGUAGUGGUGGUGGUGUAGAAGAAUUAGACUGUGACUUGGCUCCACCAACAUUACCCUUUGCUGCUGGACAGUCUCUCUGGAUAUGGCCUGGCUGGCCGCACGAAUAACACACCAUAGCGCCAAACUGACAUCUCCCUGGAUGAUUUCUUCUAUAUCUCUCACUGCGUGGGUAUGUUCGAGAGGUCUGAGCUACACUUCCUUGAUACUGUGAACCCUGUAUUCUCAGCCCCUGCCUGGAUAAAAAAUCUUGGAGGCACUGUCCGGUUUGGGGUCUGGACACUAGAGCACUGGCUGCAGACUGUGCAUUACCCCAAAACUUCUUCUCCUGACAUUUGUUACCCCAAUUCCCACUCUUCUGCUGACUAUGGCUCUAGUAUUCUGUCUUGUCUCUUUUUGCCUGCCUGUCCUUCUGUCACGACCCAAACUGAGGCCCUGGCCAUGAAGGGCAUCCCGAACGACAAAGGCCUGAGAGCCCUUCUAACUUGUAAUCACAUACACCAUUCAUGUACAAUAAGGAGAUACGGGAAUAUAUGUAACAACAGAAUCAUGGUCAUAAAUUUGACAUAAAUUUAAAAUGAAAGUCAAAAUCCAAAACCAUUUAACAACAUCUGAUAACCGUCUGCGAAAUCUCUACUACAUGAUCAAAUAUCAACUGUUUGAAAAUUGGGAUAAGGCCCCCAGUAGACCAAAACCAUAACUAUGAAAAAAAAAUAGGCCUUUUGAACUAUAGAAGUCUCACCAAUUGGACUCUGCACUUCUGUCUGUCUGAAUCUACUGUUUGUCAUGCCCCCUAGAUUGUGCCUCGAAACUUGGAAGGGAGGGGGGUCAAUACAGUGUACUGGUACGUGAAGAAAUCCAAAAUAAUGUGUUUAUAAUUAUAAAGUAGGUGAGAGCAAUUUACCAAAACAUCAUGCAUAAAUCAUUUCAAAACACAUGGGCACUUUUUUUGAAAAUCAUACUUAUCAAACAGUUUUUGAUCUUUGUAUUACUUCUGAGUUAGGUGGCACUCCCCUACAAGACUGAUAUUCCACGGUCUGUAUGGAAUCCGCCAUUGACUCGGCAGGGAAGCCCCCAACCCAAGUAUGCCACAAGGGUUGGAGUGUCUGAGUCUGAUACACCAAAAGGCACUAGGCCAACGUAUAAUAAUAUAUCCGGAUCGGCAAAUCAUAGUUUUGGACAAUGAGUUGUCUAAAAUCACGCCUUCUUUGGGGAACCACCUAACAUCUCUUUAUGCCCAGUUUUAGCCUAUUCUGAAUAUGAGUCAUUCUGAAGUCUAAAUCAUGAAAAUCUGAUAAAGUCUGAUUUCUGUAUUAGUCUGAGUCUGUUAUGGCAUUGUUUGAUUUGGUAUCAUCACACCAAGACUUGCAAGUCUUAGUUUUGAGCCAUAAUACAUUAAGCAUGAUCUUUUAUAAAAACAUAGUUCAGACCACCCAAACAUGCAAUUUAACAAAGAGAAUUCAUGUUCCAAAAACAUAAGUCAAAACUAUGCAAAAUUCCCAUACUUACAAUAAAAAAGUGGUGGUCAUGUAAUCUUUAACAAACCAUGCAAAUCUUCUCAUUAUAUGAUUAUGUUCAACAUUCAUCAACAUAAACAACCCUCUCUCUUUUGAAAUCAAAAUCAUAAUCCAAAUAUAACAUUAUUCAAGAUAUUUCAUAACAUGCUUUUCAAGAUGCAUUUAAACGAUUUCGUAGUAUAUUAUAAGUAAAUGAAAAUCAUCACAAGAGAGGAAUUUUUCAUGAAUCAUGCUCUCAAUUCAAUCAUCAACCUUAAACCACAUGCUUACACACACACACACACACACAUAUAUAUAUAUAUAUAUAUAAUUUCAAAUGAAUUUGGGGGAAGGCCUAAAGACCAAAACAAUAUCAUCAACGCUUCUAAAAUAUGAAUAUAUUCAUAAAUCCAAAACUCCUUUCUUAAAAUCAUGAUUUCUAUGCCUAUGAGAUUUUAGAAAAACCCCGCGUGCCUUAAAUUAGAAGCUUUUGAAUGAACUAUAGCUUUUGGGAUGCUAUACGUAUGAUUUAUGGGUGCCUCUUAUAGCCCUCGCAAUGGGGAUUCCGAAUCUUUAAGAAUCAAGGGAAACCCACGGUUAAAUCUUGAGAUAUUUGGGUUUUUAAUUUGAAACCCUAGGGUGAGUUCUUGAUGAAUUUGAGAGAAAAGAAUCAUAUUUUGGUUUUUUUUGGAGUUUAAUGUCGUGUUAUAGCUGGAUAAGGGAUGGAAGAUACCUAUUUUUCCCUUAAAAAUGCAGAAACAGAACCUAAAAUUUUGGUGUGUGCGAUAGGGCGUGCGUCACACGCUUAUUGCAUGAUGCUAUUGUCUCAGUAACUAAAAUGGCCAUAGCUUUUCGCUUGGGUAUCAGAUUUAGGUAAAAUUGGUAUCAUUGGAAAGAUAAUUCGAAGAGAUUUCAUUUGAUAUACAGUAGGCCAUCUGAUUCAUUAUAUACAAAGGGUUAUGGUCAAUUGAAGUUGACCCAAGUUUCGAUGCUCACUCAAACUCGAACGAUAGGAAAGCUUUAUACUCGUCCUUGAGUUAGGGGACCUCUAUGAUCUCAAUUCAUGCUUAAAUACAUUCACACACUACAUAAUUGAUUAACAUGCCAAAUUUUCAUAGGAUUUAUGGAUUUUGGAUCAUCCAUGCAUAGAAAUGACAGUUUUCGUUCUAGCCCAAAAUACGGGGUGUUACACCUUCUUCCUAGAUUCAGUAAUUUUCUUUUUCUUUUCCUCAACUUGCUGUAUGUAGACUAAAAUUUUGGGAAAAUCGAUGUCUUGGUUCAGCAUUUCUCCCUGACAUUCAAGUACUAAGUUAUCUGAAAGACCAGAUGCAAAUUUCCUCAUUUGGGCUCUCAUAUUACUAGUCAUCUCUGAAGCAUAACGGGCUAGUUGGUUGAACCUCAGAGUAUACUCCUGGACAGUCAUAUUUCCCUACUUUAGAUUUAUAAACUCUCAGCUUUGGCCUCUCUCAGCUUGAGAGGAAAGAACCAAUCAAGGAAGGCUUCCACAAAUUCGGCCCAAACUGUGGGUUCAGCAUGCUCACUCUUUGAAUCUUCCCACUCGUUAUACCAUUGGUUCGCUACACCUUAAGCUAGUACGCUGCUAGUUUAACCCCCUCUACCUCAUCUAUAUGCAUCACAAAGAUCUUCUUCAUAUCGUCUACAAACUUAAGUAGAUCCUCUUCUACCUUGGUAUCAGUAAAAUUGGGUGGGUUUAUUCUUAUGAAUUGGACCACUCUUGUAGCCUCAGACAUAACAAAUGCAGAUCCAAUAUCUUUCAACUGUUGAGUCUGUGUGGCUACCAACUGUGCAUGUAUGUGAAUGGACUUCCUGAAUUCUGCAUUAGAUACCUCUUUCUCGCGAGGCUGAGUACGGUUAGUCUCCGUUCGGGGUGCUUUGGGUGCCCUAGGUGGGAUGGUCUGAGUAGGUGGGACUCCUGGAGUAGCAUCAAUAUUUUAAGUCUGAGCUCUAUUUUGGGUCCUCAUCCUAUGAGCGGGACGGACCUCAUCUAUCUGUGCAUUCUGAUCGAUAGUACGACGGGGAGGCAUGAUUGUUUUUAUGAAACACAAGAGACCAUUGAUAAGGGGACAAUUCAGACUCUGAAGCACGAACUAAACCACAAAGAAGGGAAACAUUCCUAAAUGCAUAGUAGCCUCCUGCUUAUAAGUGUGGCGCACUACACACCCAUAAAUAAGAUUCUACCCGAUGCGAUUUCAUAGACACCUUAGGACCAUGAACCGUGUUUUGAUACCAAGUUUGUCAUGACCCGAACUAGGGCCUGGCCAUGAUGGACAUCCCGAACCAUGAAGGCCCGGACGUCGUACUCUAUCUGAUCUUGUAAUCAUGCACAACAUUCAUAUAAUAAAAGAAAAUGCAGAAUUAUAAUCUAAUAUGGAAACAUGGUCAUACUCUUGAUUCAGUUUGACCAUACGGAAUGAAAUCCGAAAUCAACGAAACAACUUCUGAAAUAGUCUGUGAAAUCUCUACUACAUGAUCUAAAUAUAACUGUCUGAAAAGCUGGGACAAGGCCCCCAGUAUACUAAAACAAAGGAAUAACAUAAUCAAAGAUGACAGACCUUCUGGAACAAAGAAGGAUCACCACUGCACGGAUUGCUUCUCUAUGGUAUACUCUACUGAUUAGUUGGAUCCCUAGAUUGAGCCUCCGAACCUGGGAAGUAGGGGGUCAAUACAAUUGUACUGGUAUGCAGAGCAAAUCUAAAAUAAUAAUUUAUAUUCAACAUAUAUGAGAGCAAUUUAGAACAGUUCAUAAACAUAUCAUAUGGUAAGAAAUCAUAUGGGCAUUUCUAAAAGACUCUGUAAAAUUAUCUGAACUUUGUGACACUCUUUGUUUUACUUUUGCGCUAGGUGGUAUACCCUAUAACUCUGAAAUUCCAUGGGCUAUAUGGAAUCCAUCAUUGACUCAGCAGGGAAGCCCCCAACCCAAGUAUACUGCAAGGGUUGGAGUCUCUGACUUUGCUAUGCCACACGGCCGUUGCCAGAGUAAAAUAAUAUACCCGGAUCGACAAAUCACAAUUUUAGGUUAAGAGAUACUUGAAAUCAAACCUCGUUCAGCUAACCACCUAACCCUCUUUAAGCCCAGUUUUAACUCUUUACAACAUGCAUUCUCUGAAAUCAAGCUCUAAAAAAUACUCUGUUAUGGCAUACAUACUUAUGGGAGCCAUUAUUGGCAUAUUACACUCUCUGUUUCCAAAACAUAAAUUCGAUACCACCAUAUCAAUAAAUUAUUUCAAAGAACUCUUUCUUUAAAACUCAUGUAAACACAUAUAUGCAACUCUCUUUGUCAAACUUUCAAUGAUGCAGGGUGGCCAUGUCAAAGCUCUUGAUCUCAUGCAAAUCUUUAUCUUUUAAUAAAAAUAUUUACAUCAAGAAACUCCCUCUCAUAAAUCUCUAAAUCAUGCUCAAAAUACUAUGGUAUUUGAGUAAACUAUUUUCAAGCCGUGAAUCAUGCAUUUCAAUCAAUCACCAUAAGAUCAUAAACAUAAGGUUAUCACAAGAGAGAGAUUUUCAUUAUUUGUGCUCUCAAACAAAUCUUAAAUUUCAAGUUUCAUACAUAUAAUUGUAUGUGUAAAUCAAUUUAAGGGGAUAAGGCCUAAAGGCCAAAACAACAAUAUCAUUAAACAUGUAUAAAACAUAAUAAAAUCAUGGAUCUCAAAACCCCUUUAACAAAUUCAUACUUGAUGAUUUUUAAAAUCAUAAUUGGGUGUUUUCAACAAGACCAUGUAGUUUUAAGAUAAACUCCACGUACCUCAAUUUAGAAAUUUGAUGGAUGAUUCUUGAAGCCUACGGUUUGGGUAUUCCAAAUCUUCAAUCAAUUGCAAAAAUCCACGGUUGAAUCAUGAGUUAAUUGGGUUUUUAGUUUAAAACCCUAGAGAGUGUUCUUGUGAAUUUUUGAAGAAAAUAUGAAUAAUGUGGUCACUUGGGAGUAUAAUCUCGUGUUUAAGAUGAUAAGGGGUGAAAAAUACCUAAUAUACCCUUAAUGAGAUGAAAUAAAAUAUAACUAAAAGCCCGAUUUUAUGGGCCACCGCGACGCGUCACUAUUGUGGUGGCUUACUGGAAAUUGAUGAAUGGGAUUCUUGGGGUCACCGUGACGCGGGGCCAUCACGUUGUCCCAUUGGUUGGGACCUGGAAUUCAGCGCGAUGCGCCACAAUCGCGCUAGGCUAUUGAAAUUUGACAAUUGUUAAAGAGACCCCCUCCGCAACGCACCAAGCACCAAAAUGACGGUGUUUUACGAAUAGGACUUAAAUUUAGCCAUAAAUUCUUGCCCAGAUAUCAGAUUUGGGCAAAUCUUAUACCGCCGAAAAGCUCAUUCAAUUUUCCACUUCAAAAUUAAAGAAAUUCUAUAUGGUUUAAACUUUAAUCACUUAGGAAGUAAAAAUAAAAGAGACUAACGCAUGGACAUUUGGUGUAGUGGUACAAUUUAAUAAUAAUUUUACAAUUUCAUUAAAUCAUCUAUUACAUGAAUCAACGUAAACGUUCAAUGCACGUUCUAAAAAACUAGUUUAAUAUCGAUUACAAAAUAGUUAAUGAUUAUAAAACUUAUUAAUUUAUUCUAUAUUUUAUAUUUCUAAAACAUAAUUAAUAAUUACAUAUAGAAUAUUAAGUUUUGGUGUUCAUCAACGAAAAAAGUUGUUGAACUUUGAACAUGACAGGAGAAAAUUAACACGCAAAGAAUAGAUUGACAUUAUUGUAUCAUAUUGAUUUCAGGUACAGGGAGCAUUGUGAUAACUUUUCGAGCUUCAAAAAAUCAUAAAACUUCUAUAACGAAAGAAACUCACCUACUGUGGAGCGUGGUACUAGUACAACAAUUGGUCGUGUAAGAACUAUGACCUAUGCCGCACAUAGCUCUGGAAUCAUCUACAAAACACUAGAAUCCCGUUUCAACAUUGUGGUACCAAAUGUUUUCGUAAAUUAUUUCUCGAAUGGGAGUGCAACAACAUUGUUGGAUAAUGAAACUAGACUUUAUCAUGUUUUCAUUAUUCCAAGAAGUUUGUUUUCCCACUAAAUUCCAACAGGAAUGCUAACAAAUAGAUUGACUCCUGUCGCCCAUCUUACCAGUUUCUCUGUACCGUCAUUGCAUCUUUUGAUAUUUAUAUUAUUUCUAUAAAUAUAAGUAGUUCCUCGAUAUUAUAUUUAAUAAUAUUUUUACAAUUUUGUAAAAUCAUGCAUUACUUGAACUAACGUAAACGUGCAGUGCAUGUGUGGAGAAACUAGUCUAAUAUCGAUUAAAAAUAGUUAAAUAGUUUAAAACUUAUUAAUUUAUUUUAUAUUUCUAAUACAUAAUUCAUAAUUACAUAAUGAAUAAUAAAUUUUGGUUUUAAUAAACGAAGAAAGUUGUUGAACUUCAAACUAGACAAGAGAAAGUUAACACGCAAAGAAUAGAUUGACAUCAUUGUAUCGUAUGGAUUUCAGGUACAGGGAGCAUUGUGAUAAUUUUUUGAGCAUCAUAAAAUCGUGAAACUUCUAUAAGAAAGAAACUCACCUACAAUGGAGCGUGGUACUAGUGAAACAAUUGGUCGUGUAAGAACUAUGAACUAUGCCGCACAUAGCUCUGGAAUAAUCUACGUAAGAUCAGAAUCCCGUUUCAUCGUUAUGGUACCAAAUGUUUUCGUAAAUUAUUUCUCGAAUGGGAGUGCAACAACAUUGUUGGCUAAUGAAACUAGACUUUACCAUGUUUUCAUUAUUCCAAUAAAUUCGUUUUCUCACUAAAUUCUAAUAGGAAUUCUAACAAAUAGAUUGACUCCUGUCGCGCAUCAUACCAGUUUCUCUGUACCGUCAUUGAAUUUUUUAAUAUAUAUAUUAUUAUUUUAUAUAUAAAUACUUACUCAAAAUUCUAUUUAAUAAUGUUAUUACUAUUUUUUAAAAUCAUAUAUAACUUGAAUCAACGCAAACGUGCAGUGCACGUGCUGAGAAACUAGUCUAGUAUCGAUUAAAAAUAGUUAAUUAUUUUUAAAUUUAUAUACUUUAUUUUAUAUCUUAUAUUUCUAAAACAUAAUUCAUAAUUACAAACUGAAUAAUAAGUUCAGGUAUUCUUCAACGAAUAAAUCUGUUUAACUUGAAACUCUACUGAAGAAAGUGAACAAGCAAAAACUAGAUUGACAUCAUUGUAUCAUUGUGAUUUCAGGUGCAGGCAGCAUUGUGAUAAUUUUUUGAGUUUCAUGAAAUCAUGAAACUUCUAUAAGGAAAGAAACUCACCUGUAAUGGAGUGUGGUACUAGUGCAACAAUUGGUCUAGUAAGAACUAUGACCUAUGCCGCACAUAGCUCUGGAAUCAUCUACAUAAGACCAGAAACCAACUUCAUUGUUGAGGUACCAAAUGUUUUGGUAAAUUAUUCCUCGAAUUGGAGUGGAAGAACAUUGUUGGCUAUUGGAACUAGAGUUUACCAUGUUUUCAUUAUUCAAAGAAAUUCGUUUUUCCACUAAAUUCCAAUAGGAAUUCUAACAAAUAGAUUGACUCCUUUUUUAGUAAUCUAUAUAAUUAUUUAUUACUUGAAUCAAUUUAAGCGUGCAGUGUACGUGCUAAGAAACUAGUCUAAUAUCAAUUCAAUGUAAACAUGUAGUGUAUGUGCUGAGAAACCAGUCUAAUAUCAAUUAAAAAAUAUUUAAUUAUUUUUAAACUUUUAUACUUUCCUUUAUAUUUUAUAUAUCUAAAACAUAGUUCAUAAAUAUAUACUGAAUAAAAAGUUUUGGUGUUCAUCAACAGAGAAAGUUGUUGAACUUCGGACUCUACUGGCGAAAGUGAGCAAGAAAAAAAUAGAUUGACAUCACUGUAUCAUUGUAAUUUCAGGCAUAUGGAGCACUGCGAUAAUUUUUUGAGCUUCAUUAAAUCAUGAAACUUCUAUAAAGGAAAGAAACUCACCUACAAUGGAGCGUCAUGUAAGAAUUAUGACCUAUGUUGCACAUAGCUCUGAAAUCAUCUAUAUAAGAUUUGAAUCAUGUUCAUCGUUGUGGUACCAAAUGUUUUGGUAAAUUAUUUAUCGAAUGGAAGUGCAACAACACAUUUUUGACUAAUGAAACUAGGGUUUACCAUCUUUCCAUUAUUCCAAUAAAUUCGUUUUCCCACUGGAUUCCAUUAAGAAUGCUAACAAAUAGAUUGACUCUUGUCGUGCAUCUUAUCAGUUUCUCUGUACCGUCAUUGCAUUUUUCAAUAUUUAUAUUAUUUUUAUAUAGAUAAUUAUUUACUCAAUAUUUUUUUAAUAAUAUUUCCAUUAUUUAGUAAAAUCAUAUUUUACUUGAAUCAGUAUGAACAUGCAGUGCACGUGUCGAGAAACUAGUCUAAUAACGAUGAAAAAUCGUUAAUCAUUUUUGAAUUUAUAUUCUUUAUUUUAUAUUUUAUAUUUUAUAUUUCUAAAAUAUAAUUCCUAUUUACAUACUGAAUAAUAAGUUCAGGUACCAAAUAUUUUGGUAAAUUAUUUCUAUAAUGGGAGUGCAAGAACAUUGUUGACUAUUGGAACUAGAGUUUACCAUGUUUUCAUUAUUCCAAGAAAUUUGUUUUUCCACUGAAUUCAAGCAGGAAUUAUAUUNNNNNNNNNNNNNNNNNNNNNNNNNNNNNNNNNNNNNNNNNNNNNNNNNNNNNNNNNNNNNNNNNNNNNNNNNNNNNNNNNNNNNNNNNNNNNNNNNNNNNNNNNNNNNNNUUACACAUCUUACCAGUUUCUCUGUACCGUCAUUGCAUUUUUCAAUAUUUAUAUUAUUUUUAUAUAUAUAAUUAUUUACUCAAUAUCCUAUUUAAUAAUAUUUAUAAUCUUUUUAAAAUUAUUUAUUACAUGAAUCAAUGUAAACGUGCAGUGCACGUGCUAAGAAACUAGUCUAAUAUCAAUUAAAAAAUAGUUAAUUAUUUUUUAAAUUUAUAUACUUUCUUUUUGUAUUUUAUAUAUCUAAAACAUAAUUCAUAAUUAUACACUGAAUAACAAGUUUUGGUGCUCAUCAAUAGAGAAAGUUUUUGAACUUCGAACUCGACUGGAGAAAGUGAGCAAGUGAAAAACAGAUUGACAUCACUGUAUCAUUAUUAUUUCAAGGAGCACUAUGAUAAUUUUUUGAGAUUCAUUAAAUCAUGAAGCUUCUACAAGGAAAUAUACUCACCUACAAUAGAGCGUAGUACUAGUGCAACAACUGGUCAUGUAAGAACUAUGAAUUAUGUUGCACAUAGCUCUAAAAUCAUCUAGAUAAGAUCAAAAUCAUGUUUCAUCGUUGUGGUACCAAAUAUUUUGGUAAAUUAUUUCUCGAAUGGAAGUGCAACAACACAUUUUUGGUUAAUGAAAUUAGAGUUUACCAUAUUUUCAUUAUUCUGAGAAAUUCAUUUUUCCACUGGAUUCCAGCAGAAAUGCUAAUAUAUACAUUGACUCCUGUCGCGCGUCUUACCAGUUUCUCAGUGCCGGUAUUGCAUUUUUUAAUAUUUAUAUUAUUCCUAUAAAUAUAUUACUCAAAAUUAUGUUUAAUAAUAUUUUCACAAUUUUGUAAAAUCAUACAUUACUUGAAUCAACGUAAACGUGCAGUGCAUGUGUGGAGAAAGUAGCUUAAUAUCGACUAAAAUAGUUAAUUAUUUUAAAAAAAUUUAAUUAAUUUAUAUUUUAUAUUUCUAAAACAUAAUUCAUAGUUACAUACUGAAUAAUAAGUUUUGGUGUUCAUCAACGAAGAAAGUUGUUGAACUUCAAACUCGACAGGAGAAAGUUAACACGCAAAGAAUAGAUUGACAUCAUUGUAUCAUAUUGAUUUCAGGUACAGGGAGCAUUGUGAUAAUUUUUUGAGCUUCAAAAAAUCAUGAAACUUCUAUAAGGAAAUAAACUCACCUACAAUGGAGCGUGGUACUAGAGAAACAAUUGGUCAUGUAAGAACUAUGAACUAUGCCGCACAUAGCUCUGGAAUCAUCUACAUAAAGACCAGAAUCCUGUUUCAUCGUUAUCGAACCAAAUAUUUUUGUAAAUUAUUUCUCGAAUGGGAAACAACAUUGUUAGCUAAUGGAACUAGACUUUACCAUGUUUUCAUUAUUUCAAGAAAUUCGUUUUCCCACGAAAUUCCAGCAAGAAUGCUAACAAAUAGAUCGACUCCUAUCGUGCAUCUUACCAGUUUCUCUGUACCGUCAUUGCAUUUUUUAAUAUUUAUAUUAUUAUUUUAUAUAUAAAUACUUACUCAAAAUUCUAUUUAAUAAUGUUUUUACUAUUUUUUAAAAUCAUAUAUAACUUGAAUCAAUGCAAACGUGCAGUGCACGUGCUGAGAAACUAGUCUAGUAUCGAUUAAAAAUAGUUAAUUAUUUUUAAAUUAAUAUACUUUAUUUUAUAUCUUAUAUUUCUAAAACAUAAUUCAUAAUUAUAAACUGAAUAAUAAGUUCAGGUAUUCUUCAACGAAUAAAUCUGUUUAACUUGAAACUCAACUGAAGAAAGUGAACAAGCAAAAACUAGAUUGACAUCAUUGUAUCAUUGUGAUUUCAGGUACAGGGAGCAUUGUGAUAAUUUUUUGAGUUUCAUUAAAUCAUGAAACUUCUAUAAGGAAAGAAACUCACCUACAAUGGUGCAUGAUACUAGUGCAACAAUUGGUCCUGUAAGAACUAUGACCUAUGCUGCACAUAGCUCUGGAAUCAUCUACAUAAGACAAGAAUCCUACUUCAUUGUUGUGGUACCAAAUGUUUUGGUAAAUUAUUUUUCGAAUGGGAGUGCAAGAACAUUGUUGGCUAUUGAAACUAGAGUUUACCAUGUUUUCAUUAUUCCAAGAAAUUCGUUUUUAUGCUGAAUUCUAGCAGUAAUGCUUUUUAUAUAUAUAAUUAUUUACUCAAUAUUCUAUUUAAUAAUAUUUUUAAUAUUCUAUAUAAUUAUUUAUUACUUGAAUCAAUAUAAAUGCGCAGUGUACGUGCUGAGAAACUAGUCUAAUAUCAAUUCAAUGUAAACGUGCAGUGUACGUGCUGAGAAACCAGUCUAAUAUCAAUUAAAAAUAUUUAAUUAUUUUUAAACUUAUAUACUUUAUUUUAUAUUUUAUAUAUCUAAAACAUAGUUCAUAAAUAUAUACUGAAUAAAAAGUUUUGGUGUUCAUCAACAGGGAAAGUUGUUGAACUUCGGACUCUACUAGCGAAAGUGAGCAAGAAAAAAUAGAUUGACAUCACUGUAUCACUGUAAUUUCAGGCAUACGGAGCACUGCGAUAAUUUUUUGAGCUUCAUUAAAUCAUGAAACUUCUAUAAAGGAAAGAAACUCAUCUACAAUGGAGCGUGAUACUAGUGUAACAAAUGGUCAUGUAAGAAUUAUGACCUAUGCUGCACAUAGCUCUGAAAUCAUCUAUAUAAGAUUUGAAUCAUGUUUCAUCGUUGUGGUACCAAAUGUUUUGGUAAAUUAUUUCUCGAAUGAAAGUGCAACAACACAUUUUUGGUUAAUGAAACUAGGGUUUACCAUCUUUCCAUUAUUCCAAUAAAUUCGUUUUCCCACUGGAUUCCAUUAAGAAUGCUAACAAAUAGAUUGACUCAUGUCGCGCAUCUUAUCAGUUUCUCUAUACCGUCAUUGCAUUUUUCAAUAUUUAUAUUAUUUAUAUAUAUAUAAUUAUUAACUCAAUAUUUUUUUAAUAAUAUUUUUAUUAUUUAGUAAAAUCAUAUUUUACUUGAAUCAAUAUGAACAUUCAGUGCAUGUAUCGAGAAACUGGUCUAAUAACGAUGAAAAAUCGUUAAUCAUUUUUGAAUUUAUAUUCUUUAUUUUAUAUUUUAUAUUUCUAAAACAUAAUUCCUAAUUACUUACUGAAUAAUAAGUUCAGGUGUUCUUCAACGAAGAAAACUGUUGAGCUUCGAACUCGACUGAAGAAAGUGAGCAAGCAAAAAAUAGAUUGACAUUAUUGUGUCAUUAUGAAUUUAGGUACAGGAGCAAUGUGAUAAUUUUUUCAGUUUCAUUAAAUCAUGAAACUUCUAUAAGGAAAGAAUCUCAUCUACAAUGGAGCGUGGUACUAGUGCAACAACUGGUCCUAUAAGAACUAGGACCUAUGCCGUAUAUAGCUUUGGAAUCAUCUACAUGGGACUAGAAUCCCGUUUCAUCGUUGUGGUACCAAAUAUUUUCAUAAAUUAUUUUUCGAAUGGGAGUGCAACAACAUUGUUGGCUAAUGGAACAAGACUUUACCAUGUUUUCAUUAUUCCAAGAAAUUCAUUUUCCCACUAAAUUCCAACAAGAAUGCUAACAAAUAGAUUGACUCCUGUCAUGCAUCUUAUCAGUUUCUCUGAACCGUCAUUGCAUUUUUAAUAUUUAUUUUAUUCUUAUGAUAAUAUUUUUUUUAUUUUGUUAAAUCAUAUAUUACUUGAACCAACACAAACGUGCAGUGCACAUGCUGAGAUAUUAAUCUAGUUUUGAUUAAAAAAUAGUUAAUUAUUUUUAAACUUAUAUACUUGAUUUAUAUCUUAUAUUUCUAAAACAUAAUUCACAAUUACAUACUGAAUAAUAAGUUCAGGUGUUCUUCAACGAAUAAAACUGUUGAACUUCGAACCCGACUGAAGAAAGUGAGCAAACAUAAAAUAGAUUGACAUCAUUGUAUCAUUGUAAUUUUAGGUACAGGGAGCAUUGUGAUAAUUUUUUAAGUUUCAUUAAAUCAUGAAACUUUUAUAAGGAAAGAAACUCACAUACAAUAGAGCAUGGUACUAGUGCAACAACUGGUCCUGUAAGAACUAUGAACUAUGCCGCACAUAACUCUGGAAUCAUCUACACAAGAUCAGAACACAAUUUCAUCAAUGUGGUACAAAAUAUUUUGAUAAUUUAUUUCUCAAAUGGGAGUGCAACAACAUUGUUGGCUAAUGAAAUUAGAGUUUACCAUGUUUCCACCGUUCCAAAAUAUUCGUUUUCCCACUGUAAUGCAACAACAAUUCUAACAAAUAAAUUUACUCCUUUCACGCAUCUUACCAAUUUCUCUGUACCGUCAUUGCAUUUUUUUUGUAUUUAUAUCAUUUAUAUAUAUAUAACUAUUUACCCAAUAUUCCUUUUAAUAAUAUUUUUAUUAUUUAGUAAAAUCAUAUUUUACUUGAAUCAAUAUGAACAUGCAGUGCACUUGCUGAGAAACUAGUCUAAUAUCAAUUAAAAAUAGUUAAUUAUUUUUGAAUUUAUAUACUUUAUUUUAUAUUUUAUAUUUCUAAAACAUAAUUCCUAAUUGCAUACUGAAUAAUAAGUUCAGGUGUUCUUCAACGCAGAAAACUGUUGAACUUCGGACUCGACUGAAGAAAGUGAGCAAGCAAAAAAUAGAUUGGCCUCAUUUUAUCAUUGUGAUUUCAGGUACAGGAGCAUUGUGAUAAUCUUUUAAGUUUCAUUAAAUCAUGAAACUUCUAUAAGGAAAGAAACUCACCUACAAUGGAGCGUGGUGCCAGUGCAACAACUGGUCUUGUAAGAACUAGGACCUAUGCCGUACAUAUCUCUGAAAUCAUCUACAUAAGACUAGAAUCCUACUUCAUUGUUGUGGUACCAAAUAUUUUGGCAAAUUAUUUUCGAAUGGGAGUGCAAGAACAUUGUUGGCUAAUGAAACUAAAGUUUAACAUGUUUUCAUUAUUCCAAUAAAUUUAUUUUUUCACUGAAUUCCAGCAGGAUUGCUAACAAAUAGAUUAACUCCUGUCACGCAUCUUACCAGUUUCUGUACCGUCAUUGCAUUUUUUAAUAUUUAUAUUAUUUUUAUAUAUAUAAUUAUUUACUCAAUAUUCUAUUUAAUAAUAUUUUUAAUAUUUUGUAAAAUCAUUUAUUACUUAAAUCAACAAAAACGUGCAAUGUACGUGCUGAGAAACUUGUCUAAUAUCGAUUGAAAAAUAGUUAAUUAUUUUUAAAUUUAUGUACUUUAUUUUAUAUUUCUAAAAUAUAGUUUAGAAUUACAUACUGAAUAAUAAGUUUACAACGAGGAACGCUGUUGAACUUUGGACUAGACUGGAGAAAGUUAGCAAGCAAAAAAUAAAUUGGCAUCAUCGUAUCAUUGUGAUUUCAGGUAAAGAGAGCAUUGUAAUAAUUAUUUGGGCUUCAUUAAAUCUUGAAACUUCUAUAAUCAAAGAAACUCACCUACAAUAGAGCAUGGUACAAGUGCAACAACUAAUCCAGUAAGAACUAUGACCUAUGCUGCACAUAACUUUGGAAUCAUCUUCAUAAGAUCACAAUCCCAUUUCUUCGGUGUGGUAUCAAAUAUUUUGAUAAAUUAUUUUUCGAAUGGGAGUGCAACAACAUUGUUGGUUAAUAAAACUAGAGUUUACCAUCUUUUAAUUAUUCCAAAAAUUCACUUUUUUCACUGAAUUCCAACAGGAAUACUAACAAAUAGAUUGACUCCUGUCACACAUUUUAUUAAUUUUUCUAUAUGUCAUUGCAUUUUUUUAAUAUUUAUAUUAUUUUUUAUAUAUAAUUACUUAAUCAAUAUUCUAUUUAAUAAUAUUUUUACUAUUUUAUAAAAUCAUAUAUUAUUUGAAUCAAUGUAAACAUGUGCAGGCUCUGAGAAAUUAGUCUAAUAUUAAUUCCACGAUGCUUAAUAAUUUUAAACUUAUACACUUGAUUUUAUAUUUUUAAAAACAUAGUGAUUCAUAAUGAUAUAGUGAAUACAGGUAUGUUGUUGUUGUAUAGUGGAAUAAGUUAAAUUUAGGGGUGUCGCCCAUAAAUAGCACACAACUAACAACAAUCCAAACAAGGUGUUGCUCUCACUGCUUCCUCUCCAUGUACUUACAAAAUCUCCAUUAUCCAAGCAAGCAAUUUAUGAAAGAUGUGUUGAUGGAACAUGUGAUGAAGAAGAAGAUUGGCACCGCAUGUGUUUGGCGGCGCCUGUUGAGGCGUUGCGGGAUUUGGAUAUUGACAAAUUUAUGCAACUGUGAGACCUACUUUUUUGGUUUUUUUUUAGUUUUUGAAAAUUACAACAUGUUUUUAGUUCAUAAAUCAUAAUUAUGUUGGGAUGAAAUUUUAUUUUGUAUCUGGUUUACUGUAGGCAGUAUUUGGAAGAUCGUUGUAUGGUUAGGAGGUAUUAUUAUUAUUUGUUUGUGAAAAGGGUGGGAUGUUAGACUAUUAAUUGUAUGAUAAUCAUCUUUGUGUAUCUUAAUUUCUGGAAUUACAAUAUGUAAUUUCAUAGAUCAUAAUUAUGCUGGAAUGAACUUUUAUUUGAAUAAUUAGCAGUCAAUUGGAAAUAAAUUUGAUUUUUUUGGUUUAUUUAGUAUCUCCUAUACUGUGGGCAGGCAGUAUUUGAAAGUUCCUCGUACAUAGGCGGAUCCAGUAUUUCAAACUUGUGGGUUCCCAAUAAAAUAAAAGCUGGAAAAAAAUAAUUUUUUAAAAAAUGAACCUCCACAGGGGUUAGAACUCAUGAUCAGUAGCAACAUGGAACACGUCUCAAGUGUGCCCCUCCUACCACUGAGUCAUCCAAUUACUUUGUUAUGGGUUCCCACCUGUUAAUAUUAAACCCCCACCCGCUACCGUAUAUCCGCCCCUGUCCUUGUAUUGUUAGGAGGUAUUAUGUUUGUGUAAAGGGAGAGAUGUUAGACUAUUAAUUGUUUGACAAUUUCUAUUGUAGACAUCUUAGGGUCCUUGUAAGAAGAGAUAGGAUCUAGAGGAAGUUUUUGUUUUUUCUCUUUUGACGGUUGGAUCAUUGAUGUAAAUUUUGGUCCCCAGCAUUAUGUGCUGAUGAUUAUACACAAAAUCAGUUACCUAUGUCAAAAAAAUUGUAUGACAAUGAUCUUUGUGUCUCUUAAUUUCUGUAAUAAAUCAUAUAUUUUUUUUGAUAACUGCGGUGUCCGGGCACCUCGACUAAUUUCUGGUAUACUGUGGGCAGUAUUUGGAAGUCCCUUGUAUUGUUAAGAGAGAGUAUUAUUUUUGUUUGUUUGGAAGUCCGUUGGAGUAACUGGUAAAGUUGUUGCCAUGUGACCAAGAGGUCAUGGGUUCAAGCCUUGAAAAUAGCCUCUAGCAGAAAUGCAAGGUAAGGCUGAGUACGAUACACCCUUGUGGUGGGGCCCUUCCCCGAACACCGCGCAUAGCGGUAUCUUUACUGCACUGAGCUGUCCUUUUUUUUUUGUGGAAAGGUAGGGAUAUUAUUCUAAAAGUUGUAUGAUAACAAUCUUCUUGUCUUAGUAUUACCGUUUUUGGCAUUAAUUAUGAUGUAAAAGUAGAAAUUGUAAUUAUAAAACCUACUGAUUAGCUAUCUAAGGUAUACUUAGAUAUUUGUUCAGUUCUAUUGCUUGUUCUUGAAUUUUCUCUUUUGUGGUCUCUUGCUCUGUUUGUUGUUAGUGGAAAGAGGGGAGGAAGUCUUUGUAGGAUGUUAAUUUACUAACAAUAACAAUAUAAUUCAUGAAUAAUAAAAGCAGUUAUAGACCAUUUUGGUAAGCGUUAAAAUAAUUAAACUUUACUGCUUAUCCGUAUCCGAAAAACUAAUAAAUUUUUAGUGGAACUAAUUAAGUUAUGGAGUUGCUCGGGGUGGGGAAAACAAUGCAACCAACUAACAUAUUUCAUGUGGAAGAAGUCUUGUGGAUCACGCUCACAAAAUCGCAGAUAUGGAAGAAGACAAACAUAAUGAAGAAAAAAGAUGUCAAUACCCAUCCAGGAUUUUGGUGGUGGGGGUUGAUCAAUAGCACGGGAAGUCGAGAGGAGGCUUGGAUUGUGGUAAUCUAAGUGUAAUCUAUAGGUUUCACGCUUUUGUUCUUCUAGUGGAAGGUAAUUAAAUACAUCAUUAUCCUGGUUGGUAAAAUUUUCUAUUACCUCAAUUGAAAUUGUUUUCAAGAUUUAAAAAAAUCUAUCACCUCGACUGCAUCAAUCUUUGCAGUCUAGUUCCCGCCUCAGUUGUUUUGAUAUAUUUGCUUACUCAAAAUUUUAUUUAAUAAUAUUUUUACUAUCUUGUAAAAUCAUAUAUAUUACUUUAUUCAACAUAAACGUGCAAUGCAGGUGUCGAGAGAAACUACUCUAAUAUCAUUUUCACACUGAAUAAGUUAAAUUUAGGGGUCUUGCACAUAAAUAGCACACAGCUAACAACUAUCCAAACAAGGUGUUACUCUUAUUGCUUCUUCUCCGUGUACUUACAAAAUCUCCAUUAUCGAGGCGAGCAAUUUAUGGAAGAUGUGUUUAUAGAACAUGUGAUGCGGAUGAAGAUUGGCACUGCGUGUGUUUGGAAACGCCUAUUGAGGCAUUGCCGGAUUCGGAUAUUGACAAAUUUAUGUAACUGUGAGUAGAUACUUUUUCGUUUUUAGUUUCUUAAAAUUACAAUAUGUUUUAAGUUCAUAAAUCAUAAUUAUGGUGGGAUGAACUUUUAUUGUAUCUGGUAUACUGUAAGCAGUAUUUGGAAGCUCCUUGUAUGGUUAGGAGGUAUUAUUAUUUGUUUGUGAAAAGGGAGGGAUGUUAGACUAUUGUAUGAUAAUCAUCUUUGUGUCUCUUAAUUUCUGGAACUACAAUAUGUAAUUUCAUAAAUCAUAAUUGUGCUGGAAUGAACUUUUAUUUGGAUAAUUAGCAGUCAAUUGUAAACAAGGGUCGAAAGAAGAGGAGAGUGGAGGCUCGGCCCAGGAUUAAGUGGGGUGACUUGACUUUGGCUAGUGCCUUGGAAAUGGGGAAGAAGUUAAAGAGUAGGGGGCUUGGGAGAGUAGAGGGGAUGUGGAUAGUAUGUGGGAGACGACUGCCGGUUGCAUUAGGGAAAUCGCUGGAGAGGUGUUGGGUGUGUCGAGAGGUCGAUCUGGCAAGCAUCGAGGGGACUGGUGGUGGAACGAAGAGGUUAAGAUGAAGAUAGAGACUAAAAAGGUGGCUUAUGCUAAGUUGGUUGAGAGCAAGGAUGAUGAGGAGAGACAGAUGAAUAAGGAGAAGUGAGACUAAGUUAGCGGUUACGGCAGCUAAGACAGCAGCUUUUGAGAGCUUGUAUGCGGCUUUAGAGGAGAAAGGCGGGGAUAAGAAGUUUUAUAGGCUGGCCAAGGCUAGGGAGCAGAGAGCCCAUGACCUUGACCAAGUGAAGUGCAUCAAGGGAGAAGAUGGUACAGUGUUGGUUGAGGAUGCCCUCAUUAGGAAGAGGUGACAGUCCUAUUUUCAUAAAUUUUUGAACGACGAGGGAGACAAAGGUUUUGUGUUGGGGGGCUUGGAGAAUUCUGAGGAGUGUCGCGAUUAUGGUUAUUGUAGGCGUAUCAAGGUGGAGGUGGUCAAGGGGGCUAUUUGCAGGAUACAUCGGGGUAGGGCGAUGGAGCCAGAUGAGAUUCUAGUGGAUUUUUGGAUAAGCACUGGCGGUACAGGUUUGGAGAGGUUGACAAGGUUGUUUGACAUCAUUUUUAGGGCGGCGAAGAUGCCUGAAGUGUAGAGGUGGAGUACGAUGCUUCCAUUGUAUAAGAACAAGGGAGACAUCCAGAGUUGCAACAAUUAUAGAGGUAUCAAGUUGUUGAGUCAUACUAUAUGAAAGUUUGGAAAGGGUGGUAGAGUUGAGGCUGAGAAGGAUCGUGACUAUCUCUGAGAAUCAGUUCAGUUUCAUGCCAGGUUGCUCGACUACGGAGGCCAUUCACCUUGUGAGGAGAUUAGUGGAGCAGUUUUGGGAGAAGAAGAAAGACUUGCACAUGGUGUUUAUUGAUCUUGAGAGGUCUUAUGACAGAGUUCCCAGGGAGAUUUUGUGGAGGUGCUUGGAGGUUUGAGGGGUGCCUGUGGCGUACACCAGGGCGAUUCAGGAUAUGUAUGAUGGCACAAAGACUCAUGUGAGGACGAUAGGAGAUGAUUCCAAGCACUUUUCAAUUUUGAUAGGUUUGCUCCAGGGAUUGACCCUUGGCCCUUUUUUAUUUGCCUUGGUGAUGGAUGUGUUGACGCGGCAUAUUCAAGGGGAGGUGCCUUGGUGUAUGUUAUUUGUUGAUGAUAUGGUAUUGAUCGACGAGACUCAGGGAGAGUUAAUGAUAAGUUAGAGAUUUGGAGACAGACCCUUGAGUCAAAAGAAUUUUGGUUGAGCAGGACCAAGAUGGAGUACUUGGAGUGUAAGUUUAGUGAUAUGUCGCAGAAGUCUGACGUGGUUGUGAAGCUGAACUCUCAGGCCAUUCAAAAAAGGGGAAGUUUCAAAUACCUGGGAUGUCACACAUCAUAUUGGGGCACGGUGGUUAAAACAAAGGCUCGCUAUGAGAGUUUUAUGUGAUAAGAAAGGGCCCCCGAAGCUUAAAGGUAAGUUCUACAUAGUGGCAGUUCGACCGGCUAUGUUGUAUGGAGCGGAGUGUUGUCCAGUUAAGAACUCCCACAUCUAGAAGUUGAAGGUGGCAGAGAUGAGGAUGUUGCAAUGGAUGUGUGGCCAUACCAGGAAAGAUAGGGUGAGGAAUGAGAUUAUUCAGGAGAAGGUGGGGGUGGCUUCGAUGGAGGACAAGAUGCGAGAAGUGCGGUUACGUUGGUUCGAUCACGUGACGAGGAGGGGCUCUGAUGCUCUAGUGCAGAGGUAUGAGUCACUGGUUAUGGAUGGUUUUAGGCGGGGUGGAGGUAGGCCGAAGAAAUAUUAGAGAGAGGUGAUUAGGCAUGAUAUGGAGCAGUUACAGCUAACAGAGGACAUGACCCUUGAUAGGAAGGUAUGGAGGCUGCAGGUUAGGGUAGAGGGUUAGGGGGUGGGAGAGUUUCUUAUGCGUGGGUGUUGAGUGAUGUCUAUAUUUUAGUAGUAGCUGGUGGUUGUUGUAUUACCUUGUGGAUACCGGUGUUGUCUAUAUGCAUUUGUGUGUUGUAAUUUGCUAUACUGUUAUCGGUCCUAAGUCGGAGGUCUAUCGAAAAUAGCCUCUCUACUUCUUCGGAGGUAGUGGUAUGGUCUGCGUACACUCUACCCUCCCCAGACCCCACUGUGUGGGAAUACACUGGGUAUGUUGGUGGUGGUGGUGGUGGUUUAUUUGUAUAAGGUAUACUGUUGACAGUAUUUGAAAGUUCUUUGUAUUGUUAGGAGGAAUUAUUUUUGUAUGUUUGUGGAAAGGCAGAGAUGUUACACUAUUAAUUGUAUGACAAUGAUCUUUGUAUCUCUUAAUUUCUCUAAUAAAUCAUAUUUUUUUCGAUAACCAUGGUGUUCGGGCCAGCUUGCAUGCACCUCAACUAAUUUCACAGGAUACAUUUGUCCAUCAAGGUUAGAGCAGAUAGGAAGAAAUCACCUAGUGUUUGUCUCUGUUAGGAAUUGAACGUGAGACCUCAUGCUGCUCAACCCCACUUCAUUGAACCACUAGGCCACACCCUUGGGUGCAAUAAAUCAUAAUUAUGUUGGGCUUAAUUUUAUUUGGAUCCAUUCCAAUUAGAAAUACAUUUGAUUUUUGGUUUGGUUUGUAUCUGGUAUACUGUGGGCAGUAUUUGGAAGUCCCUUGUAUUGUUAGGAGGGAGUAUUAUUUUGUUUGUUUGUGGCAAGGGAGGGAUGGUAAACUAAAAGUUGUAUGAUAAUGAUCUUCUUUUGUCUUAACUGUAUUACUUUUUUGGUAUUAAUUAUGUUGUAAAAGUAUAUGUUUUAAUUAUAUAACCCACUGAUUAGCUUUUUAAGGAAUAACUAGAUAUUUGUUCAGUUCUAUUGCUUGUUCUUUGAAUGUUUUCUUUUGUGGUCUCUUGCUCUAUUUGUUGUUAGUGGAAAGAAGGGGAGGAAGUCUUUGUAGCAUGUUAAUUUACUAACGAUAACAAUAUAAUUCAUGAUUAAUAAGAGGAGUUAUAAACCAUUUUGGUAAGUGUUUGAACAAUUAAACUUUACUGUUUAUCCAUAUCCGGAAAGAUAAUAGAUUUUUAGGGGAACUAAUUAAAUUUUGAAGUUGCUCGGGGUGGGAAAAACAAUGCAACAAACUAACAUUUUUCAUGUGGAAGCAGUCAUGUGGAUCAUGCUCACAAAAUUUCAGAUAUGAAGAAGACAAACAUCAUGAAGAAAAAAGAUGUAAAUAUCUACAGUGGAUUUGUGUGUGUGUGUGGUGGGGGUUACUAAUGGCACGAGAAGUGGUGAGAAGGUGUGGAUUGUGGUAAUCUAAGUGUAAUCUAAAGGUUUCACACUUUUGUCUUUCUAGUGGAAUGUAAUUAAUUACAUCCUUAUCUUGAUUGGUAAAUUUUUUUCUAUUACUUCAAUAUUGAAAUUGUUUUCAAGAUUUUAAAAAAUCUGUCACCUCAACUAUAUCAUCUUUGCAACCUCGUUCCCGACUCAGUUCUUUUGAUAUUUGCAACCCUCCCCCUCCUCAAUUGUAUAGAUUCUUGUAAUCCCCCCUUUCUCAAUUGUAUCGACGCCCCUCAUCUCGAUGUAUAAAUCCCUACAAUUCCCGUUCUCGAUUAUAUCGCCCCUCUCAUCUCAUUUUAUCAACCCCCACCCAUUCUCAUUUUUUCUCUUUUUGUUAUUAGUUCAGGUCUUUAUCAACGGAGAAAGCUGCUGAAUUUCAAACUCAACUGGAGAAAGUGAACUAGCGAAAAAUAGAUUGGAUACAAUUUUUCUCUGUUCCAGAUACAACUUAAGUUAAUUUUACAAAAUAGAUUUAGUUUUAGAAGUAUUCCGAUCCAUAAAUUCACUACGAGUUAAGGUCGGAACCAAUUUGAGACUUUAGAAAAUUUGGAUCCCCCUUUCUCAUCAAAUCGCCUUCAUUCAUUAUAGUGUUGCAUCUAUAUAUUGGUGCAUAUAGAGGUCUAUGUGUAACAUUGACAAAUCAUUUAACAGUGAUAUCAUACAAAAAUAAGAUAUACUAGUUGGCUAACAAGUCAGAGUAGAUCUUUGAAGACUAACAACCUUAAUGAUCUUGUUGAAACCUAUGUCCCCCAUUUGAUGGUAUGAUCACUAUUUUGCUUGUUCCUUGUGAUUAGUAAGCUAAAGUUCAAAUAUUGCAACAUAAGAGAUAAUUAGUGGACUAAAGCAAAAUGUUCAACUCGUAUGCUGGAUUUUAAGCAUAAAUAACUUAUAUACCCUUUCUCCUUUGAAAACCAUCUUUAUAAAGUUCAGAAUUUUCCUAUACCUUACAAAAUAGGAGACUUGAUUUUUCUCUCGCCUAUCUUAUGUAGGUUUUGAGAAUUAAUGAAGUAAGUUAUUGUGAUACUGCGACUUCUAUAGAUAAAGUACGGUAAACCUUAUUGUAUAGUGUUAAUGUCAUUUUUUUAUGCUACCUCUAUGUACUGUUGGUUAUCACAUAAAAUUUGUCGAAAAAUGAAUCUUAACCUAUUGCAAAGGAAAUGCAUUUCAUUCAAAAGAUUCCUUCUUUUGAAGAUUCAGAGUGCCUUUCAAUCUUCCUUUUUUGUUAAGCAAAAACAAAUUUGGUAUGUUUUUGCUUCUCAAUUUUAUAAGUAAUGUUGUUUACUGGUUUUCAAGAAACUUGUGACUUCACUCUUACGUUUAGGAUCAGUCACUGUUCUGCUUCUCAAAUGAAACCUUAAAAGAGGUGGUGGUGGUGGUGGUUUUGGGUUUGGUGGUUGUGGGGGUGAGGGGUGAAAUGAGAUAUAGUUGUGUAUGUGAAGUAGGAGUUGUGGUUUGUUCGGUUCAGUUCAACGUUCUAAUUCCUUGAAUUUGACUGCAUCACUGCCAUGAGAUUUGUUAUUAUUGGUGAUAUUCUACAUUAGUUUUGAUUUUAAUUAAGAUACAAAUUUCAAUUUUAUUUUAAAAUAUUUUAUUAGAAGUUUCAUAGACUUCCAUUUAAUGAGCUUGUUUGGUUGAAUUAUCCUGUUGAAAUUGCUUAAGACAUUUAAUAACUAUAGAUCAAUCAUUGCUAUAUCUAUAUCUGAAUUUGAAACUAGUUUGAUGGACUAUAUGAAUUAAGCUAUAUCUGUUUGUUUUAUUUAGGGCUCAUUUAGUUCCACUACUAAACAAGGUGAUUCCUAAGGUAAGUUAACUAUUCUUUGAAAUUUAACUUUUUUCAAAUCUCAAUCUUAUCUCUAAGUAAGGCCAAAUCUCUAGCAGGAUAGAAAAAGAUCUUAGUAAAUUUCGAUCUAAAGUGAGUGUAACCACAACAACUAGUAAGUUUUAAAUCUAACCAGAGGGUAUUAAUUAUGUAGGUCAUUUGCUAAAUCACCAUUGAUUGCAGAAGUUUCAAGUCUUCAAAGACAAGUUUUCUAUCAUGUAGUUUUGGCUUUAGUUCUUCCUUUUCAUCACCUUCAAUUGCUAUAGUGUUGUAUCUACAUAUCGGUGCAUAUAGAAGUCUAUAUGUAAUAUUGCCAAAUAAUUGAAUUACGGUAUCAUACAAAAAUAAGAUACACCGUUUGGAAAAUAAGUUGGAGUAGAUUUUAAGACUGACAACCCUUAAUGAUCCAGUUGAAACCUGUGUCCACCAUCUAAUGUUAUGAUCAUUAUUUUGCUUGUCCCUUGUUAUUAGUAGGUUAAAGUUCAAAUAUUGCCGCAUGAGAGAUACUAAGUGAUCUAAAGCAAAAUGUCUCUUGAACUUUAGGCAUAAAAUAACUUACAUAUACCCUUUCUCCUUUGAAAACCAUCUUUACAAAGUUUAGAUAUUCCUUUUUGAAAUUGGUAAGAUUAAAAAGUUCAGGAUAUUCGUAUAUCUUUCAGAAAGUAGACUUAAUUUUUUACUUCCCUGUCUUCUGUAGGUUUUGAGAAUUAAUGAAGUGAUUUUGUGAUACUAUGACACAUAUAAAUAAAGUUCAGUAAACCUUAUUGGAUAUAAUGUUAAUGUCACUUCUGUUAUGUUACCUCUAUCUACUCUUGGUUUAUCACAUAAGAUUUAUCGAAAGUGAAUCUUAACCUAUUGUAAAGGAAAUUCAUUUCCAUUCCAAAGAUUCCUUCAUUUGAAAUUUCGGAUGGCUUUCAAUCUUUAUUUUCCCCCCCUCAUAAGUACAAUACUGGAUAUGUUUUUACUUCUCAAUUUUAUGAUUAGUGUUAUUUUGCAGAUUACGUGUAGGAUGUAAGUCGUUGACUCGCAACACAAAUGAAACCUUUUCUUAAGUAUAUAUCAUAAGCACCGGUGUGGUGUGGUGGGGGGUAUAGUUGGGGUUGUGAUUUGUCCGGUUCAGUUCAAUGUUCUAAUCAGUAAUAAUCUCUUGGUAAUUAUUUCAGUCUAGUGAAACUGAUGCUUAAAAUCAUGUUUAAUGGUUUAUAAACUAUGAUUCUUACAAUUUCCGGUCAUCUGUUUGAACUUCAUAAGCUGUGUCUGUCAAUAGCUUGCAUGGAUAGAUUUCCUUUUGUGUUUCCCACCGAUCCCAAGGGAAUGGGAGCAUCAUUUAUAGAGUUGGACGGAUUUCAAUUAAAGUAAUUUCUGAUGUUAUUUCUAAAAAUAUGUUACUGUAUGUCCUCUUAUUGGUUUUGCAUACUUUAAAUUUUUAGGCCUUUCCUUCAAGUGUGUGUUAAGGGAAAGGAAAGAGUUAUUGGCUGAUUGAUUACUUGGGACAUGUUUUUCAUUUUACUGGUGUGUUGGGUGUAAAUUACAUAUAUACCUAAUUGGGCAAUCUAUAGAUUGAUGUCAUUGUAUGUGAUUUAGGCGGUCGGAGCACUUGAAAGUUAUAUCCUAUAUUCUUAUUGAACUUCUUUUUAAAAGAAUAGUAGUCUGGUUGUUUUUGGUAAUUGGUACUUUAUUUAUUAUUUUUUUCCUUCAAGUCAGUAUGAAAGAAACGGAAAAAGAGUAGUUGAUUACUACUUGGAAGGAAUUGUUGAUUAUACUGAUGUGUUGCAUGUAAACUACGUACAUAGCUAAUCACCAAUACAUAGAUUGACAUCAUUGUAUCAUUGUGAUUUCAUGUCCAGGGAGCAUUGUGGUAAUGGAGCGUGGUACUAGUGCAACAAUGGUCCUGUAAGAACUAUGACCUAUGCACAUAGCUCUGUAAUUAUCUGCGUAAGACCAGAAUCCCGUCAUCGUUGUGGUACCAAAUGUUUAGGGAAAUUAUUUCCUGAAUGGGAGUGCAACAACACCGUUGGCUAAUGGAUUUUGAGUUUACUAUGUUUCUACCCAAGAAAUUCGUUUUUUUACUGGAUUCCAGCAGGCAUGCUAACA